UUACAAUAUCCAUCUUUCUCACAGACCUAACUUCUUCCUCUCUCUUUCUCUCUCUAUCUCUCUCUGUAUCGUUAGGUUUGUCUCCUACUCUCUCGUCCACAUACAUACAAUCUUUCCCGCCCUAUCUGCUCCAUCUUCAAAAGCUCUCUCUGCACGUUUCAUUCACACAUUGGGAUAUGUCAAAAUGUUGCUUCUAUACUGGCUGAUGUAGAGUUAUGGUUUUUUUUGUUGCAUCCUACAAAGUAAUAACUAUGAAAUGCAUUUAGAUUCUCAUUUGACUGGGAUUAUGUGAGUUUGAGCAUGUUGUGAAGUACUAUAGACCUUGUAUACAUCUUGGGAUUCGACAAUGAUUGUAACUAUUGAAUUGUAUAGACCAUUACAUUCGAAGUCAAUAGCCUAAUAUAUUUAUUUCACAAUUUCAACAAAUGAUUAGUUCACUACAAACUAAGAAAACAAAUGUGUACUCCCUCCAUUUUUAUUUAAGUCCGCGUAUUAGCAUUGGUCAAAGUCAAGUUUUGUAAACUCUCAGAAAGCUUAUAACAAAAAAUAUUAACAUAUACAAUAACAAAUAAAUACCAUUAGAUUCAUUAUUGAAUGUACUUUCACAUCAUACAUAUUUGUUAUGGUAAAUGUUUAUAUUUUUCUAUAAACUUGGUCAAACUUUAGGAAGUUUGACUUCGGUCAAACCUAAUAUGCAGAGUUUACUACUACUACUCGCUAGUUGCUUAGCCGAAUCACUCAACACGCCACACGGGGAGUCCAGUGUCACAAAAUUUUGAGGUCGGCGGGAAAAUCUCCCGCGACCCUGAUUCGAGCAGUGGGAAGUUACCAUCAUAGCCUUCGGAACAGGCCUACGGAUGACGGUUGGUAGGGGGAUGUUUUCGUAACUUCAGGUUCCCCCUACCCAGCCAACCCCACCCCGGCACCCAGAGUAGUACACCUGAAUACUCCCCAUUUUCUAUCCCCACCGCAAAAUAGACUUCUCCACGGCACCGCAGCCUUCGUGCUCCUCCCCUUUACAUCGGUGCACUCGUCCACAGCAGCGCAUCUGCCUCAUCGACGACCUCGUACGCCGCACUGGAGCCGGUCCACCGUCGUCAUCGUACACGGAGCCUCUUCCCCGGCAUCGUCUUCCACGGUCUCGGAUCUGCUUCCCGGAAGCCGACGCCAAGCGCAGAAGUACCACCAUCAUGGAUAAUGAACUGACUCCCGUUGCCGACCAUGACUCACAGAGGCCGCCGCGACCAUCGUUCUCCCCCUCGAUUGGUAACGUGUGUAUUGAAUCACUUAGCAGUACAUGUGCAGUUCCAAUUUUGUUCAUACCUACCCUUCAAAUUUCCUGGGUGCUAUUGUUCCCGUAAACGUAAUUGGUUAUAGCCUCCAUUGUCCAACAUAAUAUCAGCUUGUAAUUGUGCGUCGCUCCUGUAUCGCGCUAGUAGAGAAGAGAGUAGAGAUAGCAGAGACGUCGGGAAAGGAUCGCGCGCGCGGGGGAAAAAGCGGCCGGGCGUGCGCUAGUUUUGGCGCGCGGCGUCCGGCGCGCUUUAUAAAAUCCAACGCCCUCCCACCGCUCUAUGCCUUGCCACCGCUCUCUCCCCACUCUUUGCCUCGCCACCGCUCUCUCCCCGCUCUUUUUUGCCUCGCCGCCGCUGCGCCAUCAUGCCACCGCGUCGCCGGGAAACUUGGGGAUACCGCGACGUCCGCGCGCGCCUCUCCGGUGGCUUCUCCGCCGAGAUCCGGUUCCGCGGGAUGCGCCUCGGCCUCGGCAAUUUCGACACCGCCAACGAGGCCGCCCGCGCGUACGACGCGGCGGUGUGGCGCCUCCGGUGGCCUCGUAGAACAUUGAACUUCCCCAACGUGCCGACGCGGGAGCGGGCGCAGGAGCUCGCGCCUCUGCCGCGGCUUAGGGCGCUGUGGCGCCAACACUUCCCGCAGGACAUCAUCAACGAGCGCGAGUUCUACGCACAAAUGAGGGCGGAGAGGGAUAAGAGGAGGGCUGAGCGAGCCGCCUAUCGCGAGGACAAGCGUAGGCGAAAAGCGGACGCUCAAUUCAACAUGAGGCUAGGAGCAGCGUCGCCCUGGGAAUCCGACGACAAUCGGUAUCUUCACGCCUAUAGUCAGACGUCGGAGGAGGACAUCACCGACGAGGAGUCGGACGACGAGGAGUAGUUGAAUUAUCUUUUUUUAUCUAUCUAUGCUGAGAACUAUCCUCUACUCUCUAGUAUCUACUUCUCGAUCUCAGCACUGUAAACGGUUUUUAAAGCGCCGCGCGUUGCGAUUCUGUUGGAGAUGCUCUAACAUGGCAGACGAGUGCUUUAAUGUUGCCCACAAGAUACGCGAGUAUUACUAGUAGUAUAUUUUUCUUGCCAUGUUGAGAUUUUAAAACCACGAGUGCGAAGAUGGAGAGGAGCAAUGAAGACCAAACACGGGAUAUUCGGGAUAUCUUCAAGGAGCGUGGCAAGUUAAAGAGGAGCUGCACCGAACCUGUAAAACGAGCUUUGGUAAGUAACACCCUUUCAAUUAAUUUCGUGUAGCCUCGUGUUCUUCGAUGUGUAUAUGUUGUAGUUUCUGUUUCUCUUAAGUGUGGUGUUCUUCGAUGUGUAAUAAGAAGAGUCUUAAUCGUCCUAAUGCUUUCGUUUUUAGCUUGAUGUAGGAAGUGGGUGUUCUCACCUUGUAGUCUUGUCACGCCCAAUAUGCGAUACUAUCCUAAAGAGACUCGAAGGCCCCACCAAGGAUAGAACCGCAUAUUGAAACGCUUUGCAAGGUGGAUAUCAUUACAUCAACAUUACAUAAAAUUUGGGGAUACAGACAAAGCAUACAAAUGCCGCAAGGAUACAUCAAUACAUCAUACAAGAGAUCAACAUCCGACUACGGAUGAAACAUAAACAGAAACUCAAACGACAUCCACCCUGCUAGCCCAGGCUGCCGGCCUGGAACCUAUCCCCUGAUCGAAGAAGAAGCGGAAGAAGAACUCCAAACAAGCAAACAUCGCUCUCGCGUCAUGAUCAUCGCAAAACCUGUACUUGCAACUGGUGGUGUAGUAAUCUGUGAGCCACGAGGACUCAGCAAUCCCAUUACCAUGGGUAACAAGACUAGCAAAGCUUAAAGGGAAAGGAAGGGGGUAAAGUGGUGAGGUUGCAGCAGCGACUAAGCAAGUAUGGUGGCUAACUUACGCAAAUAAGAGCGAGAAGAGAAGCAAAGGAACGGUCGUGAACUAGCAAUGAUCAAGAAAUGAUCCUGAACUCCUACUUACGUCAAACAUAACCCAGAAACCGUGUUCACUUCUCGAACUCCGCCGAGAAGAGACCAUCACGGCUACACACGCGGUUGAUGCGUUUUAAUUAAGGUCAAGUGUCAAGUUAUCUACUACCGGAUAUUAACAAAUUCCCAUCUGCCACAUAACCGCGAUCACGGCUUCCGAAAGAUAAUACCCUGCAGGGGUGUCCCAACUUAGCCCAUGAUAAGCUCUCACGGUCAACGAAGGAUAUUCCUUCUCCCGGGAAGACCCGAUCAGUCUCGGAAUCCCGGUUACAAGACAUUUCGACAAUGGUAAAACAAAACCAGCAAAGCCGCCCGAAUGUGCUGACAAAUCCUGAUAGGAGCUGCACAUAUCUCGUUCUCAGGGCACACCGGAUUGUCCAAGCUUCCGAUAGGCCAGCCCAGAGUUGCCCCUGGUGGCCACCGGCGACUGACGGGUUGGACCAACACUCGGAGGAGCACUGGCCCGGGGGGUUAAAUAAAGAUGACUCUCGAGAGCGCGACUCCCAAGGGAAAAGAAAUAGGCUGAGCAAAUGGUAAAACCAAGGUUGGGCCUUGCUGGAAGAGUUUUAUUCAAGGCGAACUGUCAAGGGGGUCCCAUAAAUCACCCAACCGUGUAAGGAACGCAAAAUCCGGGAACAUAACACCGGUAUGAUGGAAACUAGGACGGCAAGAGUGGAACAAAACACCAGGCAUAAGGCCGAGCCUUCCACCCUUUACCAAAUAUAUAGAUGCAUUAAUAAUAUAAGAGAUAUUGUGAUAUCCCAACAUAAACAUAAUCCAACAUGGAGCAAUCUUCAUCUUCACCUGCAGCUAGCAACGCUAUAAGAGGGGCUGAGCAAAGCGGUAACAUAGCCAAACAAUGGUUUGCUAGGAAGGGUGACAAAGGUUAGAGGUUCAUGGCAAAAUGGGAGGCUUGAGGAACAAGUGAAUAGGUAGCGCAGCAAAGCGAUAGAACGAAGCAACUAGCAUAGCAAUGAUAGUAAUGAGAUCCAAGGUGACGGUCAUCUUGCCUGAAAUCCCGCUAGGAAGAAGAACGAAUCCAUGAAGAAGAUGAAGUCACGAAGACGAACGAAUCCUCACGACCGCAACGACAUGGGAACUAUCGAGAAGAAGCACACAACAAGGUAAACACACCACACAAGAACAAGGCAUGAUGCUCAACCAAUAAUGAUGCAUGACAAGGCUAAACGAAGCUACUCAUGACAAAAGAUGAUGCAUACAAGAACAACACAUCAAGGCAAGUUUAAAUGAGGCCGGAAACAACAUAUAACAAUUCCGGUAAGUCCUCAUAUGCAUAUUUCGAAAUUGGUCCAGAACUGAAUAAGCAUUAAGUUGAAGUUGUUAAACAGCAAGUUAAAGAGCACCAUGAUGAUCUACACGAAAUUCUAGUCAAGUUACAUAUAAAGUUCAUUAUAUUCGGAGCUACGGCCUAGAAGAUAUGAGCAAGACGAGAUAAACAUGGCAUUGAUGCAAAAAGCAUACAAACAUCAAGCAAACACCUCACGAGAAUGAUGCAACAUGAUAAUAUGGAGCUACAUUCAAAUCUAAGCAAGUUUCAUAUAGAGCACGCUCAAAACGGAGCAACGGUGCAACACAUACACUCCAAACAAGACAUAGCAACAAUCUGGCCAAAACAGCAACUGGGCAUAUGGCAAGCAUCAAAACAAUAUGCUACAGCAACUCAACAUGAAAACAAAAGGCAUGGACAUGAUGUACAGGUAAAUCACAACAAAACAUGAACACUGAGCUAUCUCCAGAAAUCACUAGAACAUGCUCAAAAGGACAUGGCAAGAUUGCAAAUAAUAACAGAUUCACAGACUUAGCAGAAUUACUGGACAUGGCAGAAAUAACAUCAGGUUGCAAUGUUCAGAGCAUGAUUUCAACAUGCUACAGGAACUUAACAUGGCAAAACAAGGCAUGGCAUGAAUCUACUCAAAGCAGAUUUCCCCUCUCCGCCGCCGGACGCAAUCUCCGCGUCGCGCCGGACAUGUCCGCCGCUCCCCUCCACGUCGCGCCGACCAGUGGCAGGGCGCCACGUCAGCAGCGCCGUCGCCGUCGCCCAACCCCGUCGUGCCACGUCGCCUCCUCCAGCUUCCCCGCCGCCGCGGCCCGCGGAGCCCAUUACGAGAAAGUUUGACACCCGCACCCGAGAAGAAGACAAAAGGGGGCGCCGGGUGAGAACGGAGUGCCGCAUUGCAAAACGGACAACGGGGAAAAUGCUCGGAUGCUCGAGACGAACACGUAUGCGAAUGCGAUGCACAUGAUGACAUGGCAAAAUGCAACACGCAAGCAAAUGACAUGGCAAUGACGGCGAAUGACUGGCAGACACGUGGCGCAACGGAUCCGGGGCGUUACAAGUCUGUUUUUAUUUUUUUUCCCUUUUGAAUUCACUUCUCCGAGUUCUGUUUAUCUGGCUUCGACUAAAUGGAUCUAGGUUGCUCUGAGUAUUGAUCUAAAAAAGAAGUAACUUCAUGUCAGGAUGCAGUUCCUGCGAGGAGGGAAGUAUGGUCAACCUCGAGAUCAUGUUUCCAAAAUGAGGCUGGAUUACACACAAGGUGCCAGUUCCCUAAUGAUGCUGGAUUAGACACAAGGUGCAAAUUCCCCGAUGAUGCUGGAUUACACACAAGCCAGGUGGAGUCGUCAGCUGUUCGUGUCCUCGUGGCAUUAGUAAAGGCUGAAAGAAAGCGUGCAGCAGCCCUUGAGAAUGUAGCUGAGUUCCUGAAGAAGCGAAAAGAGCAAUCAGAUGCUCUCUUCACCCAAGCCAAAGAAGAGAUGGAAGAAGCCAGAAAUAAGCUAGCAGAGGCAGAGCAGGCUAGGCGUCUCCUGCUAUCUAAAACUGUUGUCAAUACAAAAUUUCCUUCAUAAUAGAUAGGUUCAAAUGUUUAUCCAGUCAGCAUGCCUGUUGUGAUGUCCGUGCAUCUACUGAUGUGGCACAAAAUGUUUUUUUCAGGUCAUGUAAUAACAGCAAUUACUUUCCAAACAAUAACAGACGAAGCAUUGGAGAUGGUAUAGUUCACGCGCAAGCCCGACAUUCCAAGUUCAACUUCCACAUCAAACUCAUGUUCACAGAUAUCUGCACAUUCAUACAUAAUGUCCACAACCAUGAUUCACUUCAAAGCCAAAAAAAUGUGAGGAGAGUUAUAAAUAAAGAAAAUCCUCUACUAGUUCCUGCUACCAGUGCGAGCACAACAAGUCAAGACCAUGCGUAAAUUAAUUAUAUUUUAGUCAUUUUUUGUGUUCUAAAAUGCCUGCUGGCUCGCGGAAGGACGUGUUGCCGGCACACGCGCGGAUUCAAUGAAGGCAGGCGGGGCAGUCUUAAGCUGGUUGCACGCGGCGAGGAGGCGUGCUCAGCCGGGCCUGCAGCGAGUGCAACCCUCUUGGCCGGCGCGCCGGUUCAAUGCCUGCGCUAUGAGAGGUCGCGUACGUGUCAGAGCAAUCACUCCCUCCAGUCCUUUUUUGUUUGGGUUUAACAAAAUCUCGUUUUCCAUUCACAUUUUACAAGUAAAAUUCAUGGACAAACUUUGACCCAAAGUACGAUGGGGACUAGUAAACCAGAAUGGAGGUAGUAGUUUUUUUAAUCAAAGAAGGGUUUCCCCUUCCGAUUUUCAUUACUGAAAACCAACAUCUAAAUCUAAACCGUAGUAUUUGCCCUAGAACUACCAGGUUCAACAUCUCACAACAUAAACCCAUACAACCUCCAUCGCAAAAAAACCAUACAACCAUACGCCAAGGAGGUACGUAGUACUAUGAAUUCCAUUGUCGCUCCAUACCAAUCGUUCUAAAAACUACUUACUACUUAUAACGCGCCGUUGAAAAUCGGAACUCUUAACCCCGCUAAAAAAACGAUAUUUUAAACGUGGCUACUCGAUCUGUGGCAACUGGCGAGCCACCGGCUCCAAGUCGUUCACCUGUGGUCCCGACCAUCAACUCCUACGGAUCAAAUUAUCACGCGAGCUGACUAUUCCUACAAAGGUGCUCCACCACGUACCCGGUACCCGCGAAUGCAGCAAUCGUGCACCUAGGGUUUUAGGGUUUAUUUGUUAACGUCGCCUUUACGUAACACUCAUGUGUGCGAGACAGCGAGAGGCCGACUGCGUGCGUGCGCCUCUUCUCUUCGUAUAUGUACUCCACCGUUUGUCUGGUGUCCAAAAAAUUAUAAUAACUACUAGCAAUGUGCCAAUGUGUUGCCACACAUCAAAGUAGAUUAAUACAUAUUCACCGAUUUGAUAGAAAAAAAGUCUAGUUUUGAAAUACGUAUAUCACUAGAAAUAUGUUAUGUUUCACUCAAAAUAUAUUCCUUUGGCGGUUUUGAUGAGAUAAGGGAGGAAUGUUGUUGGUUUCAAGAUUCGAGAAGUGGUAUAUGUCUAAUUUCUACUCUUACUAGCAAGAUGCCCGUGCGUUGCACGGAACAUCAAGAUCUUGUGGGAGAAAAGGAUGAACGAGGGAAGGCCUUAUGUGCAAAUGUGGUGAAGAGUGCGGGUAAAUUGCCAUAUUUUCCUUCCUAUCCGUCAGAUAUAAAUCAGACGACCUACAUUGCAGGAUGGCAGGCCCACCAUCAUCACCAACUCUAUUUUUUAUCCCUACUCUUAUAAAAAGCAUUGCCGGUGAUGAUCGAGUGCCUGCCAUCCUGCAAUAUAGGUCGUCCGAUCUAUAUCUGACGGAUAGGAAGGAAACUAUGGCAAUUUUGCAAAAAGAUACCCACACCCCUCUCCACAUUUGCAAAUAAGGCCUUCGCUCGUUCAUCCUUUUCCCCCACAAGAUAAACUACUCAUACAAAUGCAUCCUGAUGUUCCAUGCAACGCAUGGGCAUCUUGCUAGUUGUUGCAAAAAGCCCAUGUGUGUGUGAGAGAGAGGGAGAGUGGAGGAGGACGGAGUGCAUGUGUGACAAAGACACAAGGAGUGUGUGUGCGAUAGGUAUCAGCUUAAAAUGAGGCGAUAGUGUGUGUGUGCAUGAUCGAGAGGGCGUGUCUCAAGAAGGGAAGAAAAAUCUACAUAGAUACAAGGAGCGGGAGAGAGACAGGUAUGUGAUGGUGGAAGCACGAGUGUGCGGGUGUAUAAACCUAUCUAGAGGCUAGCUAGUCGAUAAAUGUUUGUGAGAGAAAUACGAGUCGGGGUGCGAAAGCGAGAGUUUUGUGUGUGUGAGAGAGAGACGGUAGUCGGGAAGGGGAGUGGAAGCAGGAGUUGUGUGUGUGUGUGUGUCUGUGAGAGAGAGAGAGAGAGGAGACAGUAGUCGGGGUUGUCUGAUCGGUAAACAAAUGAAUAAUGUCAGUCUGGGAUGGAGACGAAAAGGAGACCGCAACAAAUAUUGUGUCUACAGGAGAGAGAGAGAGAGAGUAAUUUUAGUGGUAUGAGUCAUAUGCAGAGACAUAUAGGGUGUGUGAGAGAAUCCCAUAGAGAGAAAGACAAAGUGAAAGAUGAGUGGAGACUGUGUGUGUGUGGCGGUGAAAAAGAAAGCUUAGGUACCGAGUGAUAACAGAGAACAGUAGAGACGUGAGAGAUAAUGAAAACCGUGUAAUGUAUAAUGAUAGGGAGAGUGUGACACUUCUCAAGGGAGACGUCGAGAGACCAUGUUUGCGAGGAUAGGAGAAACAUGAACUGAGCGUGCGGGUGAGCUGGAGAAAAGAGGGUGAUAGCUACCUGAAGGAGUAUGCAUGCGAGAGAGAUGGGCGUGAAAGGAGUGAACAAAAAAGGGAUUCAAAUAUUUGAAUUCGAGAUGAUGAUGAUACAUGUAAUCCAUACUCGAACCAAAAUUGAUCUAUCAAACAUGCAUACUCAUAUGAAUUCACGCACAUCUAUGUUAUUUAAUAUGUAGAUAUUACUGAUCCAUACAUUUUAGUAGAACAUAAUUUGGUUAAAUUUUUUCGAAUUCAACCUUAAGAUUUCGAGAUCGUUGUAUUUGUAAAUCAUAUUAUACAUAUAAAGGAGCAUAAUUCUUUGUUGUGCUUUUGAAAGAUAUAUAAAAAAAAUGAUGUAUAUAGAAUGUAUCCAAUUGAAAAUGGAUCCCGCCCGAAAAAAAUAGAAUACAAACGGGAUUCGAAUUGAGUUGGCACGGUAAACGUGCACUCUGCAAAAUUUGAACGAAGCGGGGAAAGUCGCAGUAACCGCCCGAAACCAAAAUCUGCGAGAUGGAAAUCACUACUGCCUAUAUAUCCCUGCCACGCAAAGCCUAUCUGCUGGAUUUCUAUAGGUUUCGAUAGGGGUAGGUUUGUAAUUUCACCCAAACGUGACGUAACCGCCUCUCACCCAGAUUCAUACACGGUGGGCGCCAAAACACAGUGUGUCCUCGGUCGAAAUCGACUCCCUCCCCGAUUCAUAUUCAUACACGGUGGGCGCCAAAAACAAACUCUCGUCGGCAAAUAUUCGGUGUAUGCGAGAUUACCGUCCUAUCUCCAGCCGACUAAUGUUGCUGUGAUGUAGUAGAAAUUUGAAACGGGGGCUAAGUUUGUAAAUUUCCUCGCAUUUGAGACAAGCGCGCCCUGAAUACAUGGUUCCCCCCUUCCUCUCUACCUCCCUUUUCCCCUUUCGUACUCCGUGGGCGCCAAAACACCCUCUCCACCCCACCCUCCUCCGUCCGCCGCCGUCUCCCACCCCAUCCACCGCCGUCCUCCUCCACCAUGCCGGAGCUGAUACCCCGACGCCGCCCUCCAUUACAAGAGAUCGACCUCUCUCAUCCACGGCUUCGGGCCGGGAUCCUUGCAUCCCGUCCUCUCGCUUCAUCCCCGUCGCCGUCCACCUUGCCGGCGCCGCUCCUACGACCGUCUCGUCCACCGCGCCCUGCAGCCACCGUCUACCCUCCUAGAUCUACUUCCACGCCACCGACAGCCAUCGCUACCGCAGCACCGUCAAAUUCUCAGCAAAUGCGUACACGGCGCCGCACCAGAGGCGGUACUCUUUUGUAUCUGCUCAACUUAUUUAUCGCAACAAGCAAAUAGAUCGCCACUGCGUUACUCUGAUUUCUUGUCUUGGUUGCGAAGUUGCCUUUGUCCGGUUUGCACCUUCAGAUCCGCCAUGGCACGCUCAACACUAUACUCCCAAUGCUUAUGGUUUUCCCCUUUUAUAUUCCACACUAGUUAAAUCACAGUAGACUAAAUUUCAAAAUUGGGUCAGUCGAUUUUUCAGAGAUCGUCGGAGUUCGCCGGUGCGAUCGAAGGGGCUCGGGUGGUUGUGGGGCCUCGCCGAACGAAGAAAACUCGAUGUGGGUGGGGGUUGGGGCGGGGGUGGGGGUGGGGGUGGCGGAGGAACACAGGCGGUGGGGGCCGGUGGUCCGGCCGGCGGCCCGUGCGGUGUUCUGUAUGGGAAGAAUCAGAGACGAGGAAGAAGAAGGGUUAGGAGACGUAGGAUCUUCAUCCAACCGCCUGAAAUGGUCGAGAGACAGCUGGGAGUUGCAUUCUUAAUGCGCUCUGGUUCAACAUGUGUGGGCACUGCGCAACCAACAUUUUAUUAUCCAAAAUCUGCUUGCUCUUCUUUACCAUGUUCCUCUCCCGUUCUUCUUUAAUAUGUACUCUCUCCGUUCCUAAAUACAAGUCUUUGUAUAGAUUCCACCAUGGACUACAUAUGGAGCAAAAUGAGUGAAUCCACACUCUAAAAUGUAUCUGGAUACAUCUGUAUGUGAUCCAUAGUGGAAAUCUCUACCAAGACUUAUAUUUUGGAACGGAGGAAGUAUGAUAGUAGUACAGUAUGUUCCUUGUACUCAAGAUGAGCAGGGACAUUUGUAGUGUAGAGGUCUAUACGGUCGGUUGUGAUGGACACUUUGAGCCUCUUUGAUUUGUAGGAUCUUGUAAACAUAGGAAUAUGAUUUGUAGUGGCCUGCCCACUUGAAUCCUAUAAGAAUAGCAAGGAAUUGUGGGGAGCUGUGUCGCCUUUGAGAGUUACACUGAUAUUAACAGUACCGCACCUUCACUUGAAGAGAGCUGGUAUCCGAAGCCUUUCUAGCCGUACCGGCAAUACUAGCACAUAUAUUCCAGCAAGUUCCACUUUGCUGAUUUUACUCUGAUGCUUAAGGUUUUCCCGUUAUAUCUACACUAUGAUCUGUGUAGCUGCUUUGUGUCGCACUAGCAGCAGUCCACUCUUGAAGCUAAACACUGCAAUGACUUACAAAAUUGGCACCAAGGCAUUGAGUGCCAUUCUGGAUGCAAUGAAACUCAUACGCUCCCCACCUGUUGAUUCUUGUUCAGAAUAUGAUCCUAAUGACUAUUCUAACCUCGAGGAGUCAAAGGCAGAUGGCAUGUCCUGUUCACCCAUCAAGGUGCCUGUUCUAAUUUGGCAAUGUUUUAUUGAUUGCGGGUAUCUUGCAUAUGUUGUCUUGCAUUUCUUCUACUUUGUUGCACCGCCAUCUGCUUAGUUUACUCAUCAUAUAUGUCGAGAUGCCAUGCCCAUCCAUUAUCAAUACAUAUUCCAUCUAUCAUCAUACCAUGUUUUUCACUCAAAUGUUGUUCUUGUGCAUCAGACAUAAAAAAGAAAGAGGGUGAUUGCCGAACCUGAAGGAGCACCAGCAAAGUCCUUGAAAAACGUGGUGGUGCCGGAGAAAUCAGACAGCACCCCACUUAUAUUGGCUGUACAACCAGUGACACAAAACGUAGGACCGACUCCAGCAGACUGUACCCAUACUUCACUGGCCACACCACUAGCCCCACCACACAGGACCUGCACUCCAGCAAAAGGUAUACCGAUUUCAUUUGCCAUAGCACUAGCUGUACCACAGAAAAAUCCCACUCCAGCAAAAAGUACAGCAAGUCCACCGGCCGAAGACCUAUCCCAACUGCGGACACGGGCAAUUCCUGUAGAUUGGAACCCCAUUCCAUUUAUUCCCAGUUUAAAAGACAAUGCUUUCAAUGUUGUUAGGGACUAUGUGCAUAUAUUCCCAUCAUGGGAAGAUUAUUGUGAAGACAAACACCAUUUUCACAUCUUCCUGUCCAACUUACGUGUAAGUGCUAUUAUUCAUGGUUAUUAUUUUCCUGUUUUCUGCUGUUUGAACACAUCAAUGAUUUACAUUACAUUGUUGUAACUAGGCGAGGGUCAAUCUGGAUAGUCAUGACGAGCAAAGCUUGCUUGUGCUUUUCAAGGAAGCAUUGCAGCAGUAUCGGUGUUACCUGAGGAAUUCACACUUUCAUGGCAAGUCUAUAAACGAAUUUCCGGUGAAGCCUCCUGUGCUAAAUUUAGAAGACGUUGAAUGGAAAAACCUUGUUAUGCACUGGUCUCGUUCCCAGGAUGAGGUACUAUCUAUGAAAUCACAUGACAAUUUGAACUUCUACUUUUCCGCAUGUGCCUUACAGAUCUUUUUUGCAGGAAAUCUGCUCGAAGAAGAAUUCUGGUUUGACAAGAACGACAGGAUAUCGCAAAUAUGCUGCCCGCUGCUUUGCUCUUGUUAGUACAUGUUGUCCUGUAACACUGUACUUGCAUACAUACCUGGUUCAUUAUGUGACAGCAGUAUGCAUGAUAGCUUGCUUAUCAAUUGUUCGCUCUAAAUUAUCUGAUCUGUAUGAAUGGUUACAUUAGUGUAGAAUAUAUCCAAUGCCAAUGUUUUUUAGCUCUGCAUUGUUCUUGUAAGUACAUGUUGUCCUUUAUCAGUGUACUUAUAAUGAGAGGUAGUUCUUCAUGUACCAUCACUCUGCAGCUUAUUUUCCUUUGCCCUCCAUUUUCUACACAUCAGAUCUAUAUUUACUCUUACCAUAAGGUUGGUACUGAAGAAGUUUAGCUGUGCAUUGCUCUUGGUUGUACCUUUUGCCUGUAUCGCUGCACUUACAUUUAUAGCUACUUGGUUAUGUAGCAUCUUCAUCUUAUCUUAAAUAUUCUCCAUUUUUUCGUAUAUUAUCACAUCUAUAUUUACUCUUAACAAAAUGUAGAAUAAAGGCAAUGCUUUUGAAGAAGAUUAUGUGGUAAACUUCUUGAAUUGCCCCCCCCAUCAGCAUGGACAAGGCCUUUAUAGAGCCUGUCUUCACCAAUAAUGUAAGUUUGUCCAUCUCAAGCCUUCAAACUUUGUUGUAUAUAUUUGGUUAGGCAUGACUGCAACAGCUGUUUAUUUUUUGUGUUUGCAUCAAAUUGCUUGUUUAAAGUUUAUUAUGUAGUUCAUAAACAAAAGUUUGUCCUUUCUCAAUUUAAGUUUUCAGUUGUACAACCAAGUUCCUUCUUCAUACCAUGUAAAUUAAACUAUACAGAGCAAGUGAUCUUCUUUUGCACUGCAUGUAUGCUUCUGUUCUUCAUCCGUAAUCCAGGGGUGUGGUGAACCUACCCACUACAGCACAAUGUCAUAUUCUGCAAUGUCUUAACUAUGAACAAUGUCAUAUCAUUCUACUAUUAUUUAAACCGUCUCUUUAUUUGCCAAUCUGAAAUGGUAUAAAUUGACAACACACUAACCAUUGAUACUUAUGAGUUCUUGAUCUGUAAUCCAGUGGUGUCGUGAAGCUGCCAACUCCUUCACAAUGUCAUUUCUGCCAUGUCUUGACCUGAACAAUACCAUAUUGUGUUAAUGCAAUUUUAAACUGUGUCACUUUAUUCGUCAGUAAGAAAUUUGAUGAAUUGUCAGCACUGAUACUUUUAUGUGCAAAACCUAUCAUCUGUCUGCUUGUUUAUCUUUCAGAGUGAGGAAGAUAUAAGUGUUGAACAAGCGCAGUCUCAUCAUCUUGCUCAGCUGCUUGCCCUGUAGCUCCCCAGCAGGGCUAACCUUUCUUGAACUCUAUUGAAUUGCUGUCGGUUUUGUAUAUUAUUUUGUCGGCGUGUUUAUUUGCACUGGUGGCGAUCUUUGAUGCCCAGUGUAUGUAAUCUGAUGUCUGCUUGUGCUUUAUUAUCAUAGUGGUGAACUUUGAUGCCCAGUGGAUGUAAUAUGCCGUAAUUUCUUUAUUGUAUAGUCUAGGUUUUUUCUUAUUCACGAUGCUGUAGUUAUUUUACUGUAUAUAUAUCCUGUCUUCGCAGUAAACCAGCCAAACCGUAAAAUUACGGUACAUAAUCGGGCCGUCAUGCAAUCACGAUGUAGGUUGGGCCUGAAACGUGCCGAACAGCUCAUGGGUCGGCAGGAGCCCGAAAUGAACCCCGGCCCAUGAUUGUGCGAAUCAAAUCACGGGCUUUUAACAGGCCAAAAUUGUCUCGGUCCUUGUUUGGCCCAAUCAGAUAUCGGCUGCGAGCAGGCCGGAUGCAAACCGGGCCGUAGUUAGGCCCAACUAUAUGACGGGCUUUUAACAGGCCGAAAUUAAUAUAGGGCCAAAAUGUUAAACGGGCCCUUAACAGGCCAAAACUAAUAUCAUGCCGAAUUACUAAGUGGGCCUUUAGCAAGUGGGCCCAAAAGCAUAGUGUCCAAUUGACGGGCCAAAUCUAAAAUGGGCCAUAAUUGAGCCCAAAGCCUCUUAAAGGGCCGGACCUGAUCUGGGCCGUAAUUUGGCCCAGAACGUGGUAGGCUCUUAACGGGCCGGAUCUCAUAUGGGCCACUAUUAGGCCCGGAGCGUGGCAGGCCAUUAAUGGACCGGAUCAAAUAUGGGUCGGCAUUUGGCCCAAAACAUGGAGCCAGUUAAUGGGCCGGCCUACUAGGGUCCUCAAAAUCUUGUGGGCCUACAGCUGGGCCGGCCCAUUAAUGUCGGCGAAAUCUCGUGGGCCUUUAGCUGGGCCGGCCCAUUAUGAUCCGCAAGAAUCUUGUGGGCCUUUACCUGGGCUGGCCCAUUAUGACACACAAAAAUCUUGUGGGCCUUUACCUGGGCCGGCCCAUUAUGGCCCACAAAAUCUUGUGGGCCUUUAGCUAGGCCAGCCCAUUAUGGUCCGCAAAAUCUCGUGGGCCUUUAGCUGGGCCAGCCCAUUAUGGUCCGCAAAAUCUUGUGGGCCUUCAGUUGGGCCGGCCUAUUUAAACUUGAUGGGCCGGUCCACGUGUCAACAUAUCAUAGGCGCGUCUCGCCCAUUGGAUGAGUGUCACCAGUGCCAACGCGGACCUGACACGUGUCUCCUCCAGCCAAUGAUGAUUUUACACGUGGAAAAUCCCCAUUGGUCGGGGCUGUUAACGGGUUAUCGGAUCCAAAACCCGACCCGAUAGCUUAACGGCGUUCCGUUACGGUGGAUGCCACGUGUCGGUCACCCUUGACGAAAGCACUUCUGUGACGCGCGAUUUAUCGUCAUGGAAGUGGACACUUCCGUGAUGAUAAUUUUGGUAAUGUCAUGGAACACUUCUACGACAGCACAGGUAUGACUAUCUUGAUUCUGUCAUAAAUUUGUCAUGGAUGUACAUGCAUGACAAAAAACGCGACCUACUGUGACAAACACGUAUCAUCACGGAAGUGUAUUUUUUUUGUAGUGGUGCACCGUCUCCCGGAGACCUUUUCUGGACGGGAACCCUGUUCCUUCCUGGCGAGCGCAGCCAGCCUGGCUCGCCAGACGGCGUCUGCGCCGACGCGCUGCGCGGAGAGCUGCCUCGCCGAUCUUGUUGGCGAAAUUCGCCUCUCCGACGAGCCCGCGUCUGAUGCAGGCACCGACGGCCCUGAGAGCCGCCUCGGGAGCCUCCUUGAUCAGCUCCACGUCACCAGCGAGCCUGCUGCCGACUUGGAGUCGGUUGGCUCCACCGACCAAAUGUUGGUCGACUCUGACACGGCGUCGCUUGACGCGUUCCCCAUCAACGUGGUGGUCUAUGACGAGCCGCUUCCUCGCGCGGACAGCGGCGGCAGCACCGUCACGGAAGUGCUCGUCACCAGCCAUGGCGAGCACUCUGGCGGAGGUGGCCAGGAUCCGUUGCAAGCGGCAAUGCAAGACCUGACUGCGCCCAUCCCGGAAGACGCCGACGCCGAGACGCUGGAGGCGCGCCGCGUCCAGCUCGUCGAGAGCGCCAACCGGCUGGCCAGCAUGAGACGCCUUUCGGAGGCCUACCAGCGUGAGAUGGACCGUGCCGUCGGCGGCACGCCGGCUCCUGGUGGUCCUAGCCGCAUUGGCCUGGUCCGGCAGCAUGACGCGACCAUCGCCAGCAUGUUCGGGACAGAUCGUCCCGUCUACGCCAUGCCUGCAGAGAACAUACGCACUGCCCAGCCGGCAGCAGACGAGCUAGACAAGCUCAAGGGCGACGAGCGUCGCCACAUGACGGAGCGGGUCCAGCGGCUCCUCGACGCGGCUGCUGAGCGGCAAGAGGCCGGGUGCCGCACUGAAGCGCCCAACCGGCGAAAUGACGACCCGCCUCCUCGCCAAGACCAAGGCGCGACAUCGCGAACACCGACUGGUGGCGUCCGCGAUAGAAGAGACAAGGAGCCGGCUGCGAGCCGUAGCCGGACUCCCAUCAGCAUCGAGCGCGACCAAGACGACCGCCCAAGAGUAGUGCAGCGACGAGACGACUAUCCGCCUCCUCCUCCCCGCAGGGAGAGGCGCAUUUCCCCGCCGCCUGUCGAUCACCCAUCACUCGGCGACCGCCUUGGCCGCCGACAAGGAAUCGAAGAAAAUGAUGCCCACCACCGGAUCGAUCGCCUCAACUGAUCCCUGACACUAGAAGAACAAGAUGAGCUGCGUCCGCCUUGCUUCGGCCCCCGCAUCCGAGACGAACCUUUCCCCAAAGGGUUCACGCUCCCGAGAGAUACACCCAAGUACACCAGCUCCGUGAAGCCGGAGGACUGGCUGGUCGACUACUCCACAGCCGUCAGCAUCGCGAACGGCAACAAGCGCGUUGCCAUGAAGUAUGCUACCUCUUGAGCACUGUGUUGGUUUUCCCUUGAAGAGGAAAGGGUGAUGCAGUAAAGCAGUGUAAGUAUUUCCCUCAGUUUUUGAGAACCAAGGUAUCAAUCCAGCAGGACGCCACGCACGAGUCCCUCGCACCUACACAAACAAAUAAAAUCCUCGCAACCAACGCAAUAAAGGGGUUGUCAAUCCCUUCACGGUUACUUACGAAAGUGAGAUCUGAUAGAUAUGAUAAGAUAAUAUUUUUGGUAUUUUUAUGAUAAAGAUGGAAAGUAAAAUAAAAGGCAAUAAAAAUAGCUAAGUGUUGGAAGAUUAAUAUGAUGGAAAAUAGACCCGGGGGCCAUAGGUUUCACUAGUGGCUUCUCUCGAGAGCAUAAGUAUUACGGUGGGUAAACAAAUUACUGUUGAGCAAUUGACAGAAUUGAGAAUAGUUAUGAGAAUAUCUAGGUAUGAUCAUGUAUAUAGGCAUCACGUCCGCGACAAGUAGACCGAUUCCUGCCUGCAUCUACUACUAUUAGUCCACACAUCGACCCCUAUCCAGCAUGCAUCUAGAGUAUUAAGUUCAAAAGAACAGAGUAACGCUUUAAGUAUGAAGACAUGAUGUAGAGGGAUAAACUCAUGCAAUAUGAUAUAAACCCCAUCUUGUUAUCAUCGAUGGCAACAAUACAAUACGUGCCUUGUUGCCCCUACUAUCACUGGGAAAGGACACCGCAAGAUUGAACCCAAAGCUAAGCACUUCUCCUAUUGCAAGAAAGAUCAAUCUAGUAGGCCAAACCAAACUGAUAAUUCGAAGAGACUUGCAAAGAUAACCAAUCAUACAUAAAAGAAUUCAAAGAAGAUUCAAAUAUUGUUCAUAGAUAAACUUGAUCAUAAACACACAAUUCAUCGGUCUCAACAAACACACCGCAAAAGAAGAUUACAUCGAAUAGAUCUCCACAAGAAAGGGGGAGAACAUUGUAUUGAGAUCCAAAAAGAGAGAAGAAGCCAUCUAGCUAAUAACUAUGGACCUGAAGGUCUGAGGUAAACUACUCACACAUCAUCGGAGAGGCUAUGGUGUUGAUGUAGAAGCCCUCCAUGAUCGAUGCCCCCUCCGGCGGAGCUCCGGAAAACGCCCCAAGAUGGGAUCUCACGGGUACAGAAGGUUGCGGCGGUGGAAUUAGGUUUUUGGCUCCGUAUCUGGAAGUUUGGGGGUACAUAGGUAUAUAUAGGAGGAAGAAGUACAUCGGUGGAGCGACGUGGGGCCCACGAGGUUGGAGGGCGCGCCCAGGGGGGUAGGCGCCCCCUACCUCGUGCCUUCCUGUUAGCUUUCUUGACGUAUGGUCCAAGUCCUCUGGAUCACGUUCGUUCCGAAAAUCACGUUCCCGAAGGUUUCAUUCCGUUUGGACUCCGUUUGUUAUUCUUUUUCUGCGAAACUCUUAAAUAGGCAAAAAACAACAAUUCUGGGCUGGGCCUCCGGUUAAUAGGUUAGUCCCAAAAAUAAUAUAAAAGUGUAUAAUAAAGCCCAUUAAUGUCCAAAACAGAAUAUAAUAUAGCCUGGAACAAUAAAAAAUUAUAGAUACGUUGGAGACGUAUCAAGCAUCCCCAAGCUUAAUUCCUGCUCGUCCUCGAGUAGGUAAAUGAUAAAAAUAGAAUUUUUGAUGUGGAAUGCUAGUUGGCAUAAUUUCAAUGUAAUUCUCUUAAUUGUGGUAUGAAUAUUUAGAUCCGAAAUAUUCAAGACAAAAGUUUAAUAUUGACAUAAAAAAUACUUCAAGCAUACUAACUAAGCAAUUAUGUCUUCUCAAAAUAACAUGGCCAAAGAAAGUUAUCCCUACAAAAUCAUAUAGUCUGGCUAUGCUCUAUCUUCACCACACAAAGUAUUUAAAUCAUGCACAACCCCGAUGACAAGCCAAGCAAUUGUUUCAUACUUUUGAUGUUCUCAAAACUUUUUCAAUCUUCAUGCAAUACAUGAGCGUGAGCCAUGGACAUAGCACUAUAUGUGGAAUAGAAUGGUGGUUGUGGAGAAGACAAAAAAGGAGAAGAUAGUCUCACAUCAACUAGGCGUAUCAACGGGCUAUGGAGAUGCCCAUUAAUAGAUAUCAAUAUGAGUGAGUAGGGAUUGCCAUGCAACGAAUGCACUAGAGCUAUAAGUAUAUGAAAGCUCAACAAAAGGAACUAAGUGGGUGUGCAUCCAACUCGCUUGCUCAUGAAGACCUAGGGAAUUUUGAGGAAGCCCAUCAUUGGAAUAUACAAGCCAAGUUCUAUAAUGAAAAUUUCCCACUAGUAUAUGAAAGUGAUAUCAUAGGAGACUCUCUAUCAUGAAGAUCAUGGUGCUACUUUGAAGCACAAGUGUGGUAAAAGGAUAGUAACAUUGUCCCUUCUCUCUUUUUCUCUCUUUUUUUUAUUUAGUCCGGAGUCUCAUCCCAACUUGUGGGGGAAUCAUAGUCUCCAUCAUCCUUUCCUCACUUGGGACAAUGCUCUAAAAAAAUGAUGAUCAUCACACUUUUAUUUACUUACAACUCAACAAUUACAACUCAAUACUUAGAACAAAAUAUGACUCUAUGUGAAUGCCUCCGUCGGUAUACCGGGGUAUGCCAUGAAUCAAGAGUGACAUGUAUGAAAGAAUUAUGAACGGUGGCUUUGCCACAAAUACAAUGUCAACUACAUGAUCAUGCAAAGCAAUAUGACAAUGAUGGAGCGUGUCAUAAUAAACUGAACGGUGGUAAGUUGCAUGGCAAUAUAUCUCGGAAUGGCUAUGGAAAUGCCAUGAUAGGUAGGUAUGGUGGCUAUUUUGAGGAAUGUAUAUGGUGGGUGUAUGAUACCGGCGAAAAGUGCGCGCUAUUAGAGAGGCUAGCAAUGGUGGAAGGAAGAAAGUGUGUAUAAUCCAUGGACUCAACAUUAGUCAUAAAGAACUCAUAUACUUAUUGCAAAAAUCUACAAGUUAUCGAAGCAAAGUAUUGCGUGCAUGCUCCUAUGGGGAUAGAUUGGUAGGAAAAGACCCUCGCUCGUCCCCGACCGCCACUCAUAAGGAAGACAAUCAAUAAAUAAAUCAUGCUCCGACUUCAUCACAUAACGGUUCACCAUAUGUGCAUGCUACGGGAAUCACAAACUUUAACACAAGUAUUUCUCAAAUUCAAAACUACUCAACUAGCAUGACUCUAAUAUCACCAUCUCCAUAUCUCAAAACAAUUAUCAAGUAUCAAACUUCUCAUAGUAUUCAACAAACUCAUAAGAAAAAAAAUCUAAUCUUGAAUGCCUAUCAUAAUUAAAGCAAAUUACCAAGCUGUUUUGUAGGACUCUCAAAAUAAUCUAAGUGAAGCAUGAGAGAACAAAAGUUUCUAUAAAACAAAUCCACCACCAUGCUCUAAAAGAUAUAAGUGAAGCACUAGAGCAAAAACUAUAUAACUCAAAAGAUAUAAGUGAAACACAUAGAGUAUUCUAACAAUUUCCGAAUCAUGUGUGUCUCUCUCAAAAGGUGUGUACAGCAAGGAUGAUUGUGGCAAACUAACAAAUAAAGACUCAAAUAAUACAAGACGCUCCAAGCAAAACACAUAUCAUGUGGUGAAUAAAAAUAUAGCUCCAAGUAAAGUUACCGAUGGAAGUAGACGAAAGAGGGGAUGCCUUCCGGGGCAUCCCCAAGCUUUGGCUUUUAGGUGUCCUUAUAUUAUCUUGGGGUGCCAUGGGCAUCCCCAAGCUUUGGCUUUUAGGUGUCCUUAUAUUAUCUUGGGGUGCCAUGGGCAUCCCCAAGCUUAGGCUCUUGCCACUCCUUGUUCCAUAAUCCAUCAAAUCUUUUAUCCAAAACUUGAAAACUUCACAACAUAAAACUGAACAGAAAAUCUCGUGAGCUCCGUUAGCGAAAGAAAACAAAACACAACUUCAAGGUACUGUAAUGAACUCAUUCUUUAUUUAUAUUGGUGUUAAACCUACUGUAUUCACACUUCUAUAUGGUUUAUAAACUAUUUUACUAGCCAUAGAUUCAUCAAAAUAAGCAAACAACACACGAAAAACAGAAUCUGUCAAAAACAGAACAGUCUGUAGUAAUUUGUAACUAACGCAAACUUCUGGAACUCCAAAAACUCAUCCAAAAUAGGACGACCUAGACAAUUUUUUUUAUUGAUCAGCAGCAAUUGGAAUCAAUAUUUUAUCACGUUCUGGUGAUUUUUAACAAUUAUUUUCCUGAACAGAAAGUUUCUGGAAUUUUCAGCAAGAUCAAAUAACUAUCAUCCAAGAAGAUCCUAUAGGUUAAACUUGGUACAAACACUAAUUAAAACAUAAAAACACAUCUAACCAGAGGCUAGAUCAAAUAUUUAUUCCUAAACAGAAGCAAAAAGCAAAAAACUAAAAAUAAAAUUGGGUUGCCUCCCAACAAGUGCUAUCGUUUAACGCCCCUAGCUAGGCAUUAAUACUUUUAAUGAUGCUCGCAUGAAAGAUAAGAAUUGAAGCGCGAAGAGAGCAUCAUGAAAACACGUGAAAAACACAUCUAAGUCUAACAUCUUCCUAUGCAUAGGCAUCUUAUAGAAAAACAAAUUAUCAUAGUAAGCAAAAACUAGCAUAUGCAAGGAAGCGGAAAGAAACAAUAGCAAUCUCAACAUAACGAGAGGUAAUUUAUUAUCAUGAAAAAUUCUACAACCAUAUUUUCCUGUCUUAUAAUAGUUACAUGUGGGAUCAUAAGCAAAUUCCAAAAAAUAGCUAUCACAUAAAAUAUUUUCAACACGAUCCACAUGCAUGCAAAGUUGACACUCUUCCAAAAUAGUGGGAUUAACAUUAACUAAAGUCAUGACCUCUCCAAGCUCACUUUUAUCAAAAAUUUCAUAAGAUUGAAAAUUCUCCAAAUAUGUGGGAUCUAAAGUUGACACUCUUCCAAACCCACUUUCAAUAUUAUUGCAAACAUUAUUAUCAAUCUCAUAUUCAUCAUGGGGCUUAAAUAAAUUUUCAAGAUCAUAAGAAGAAUCACCCCAAUCAUGAUCAUUGCAACAAGUAGUAGACAUAGCAAAACUAGCAUCCCCAAGCUUAGGGUUUUGCAUAUAAUUAGCACAAUUGACAUCAAGAGAAUUUAUAGUAAAAUCAUUGCAAUCAUGCUUUUCAUCGAAGGAACUAUCAAGUAUGGGUGCAAUAGCAACGAUCUCAUGUUUAACAUAAGGAACUAUAGCAAAUUCAUCUUCAUAAAUAUUGGCAUCAUGGCCACAAGAAUAUCAAGCAUCAUGUUCAUUAAGGGAUAUUUCAAUCAAAUCAUCGGAAUCAUAAUUAUCUAAAGAGUCAUGCAUAUCAUUAUUUUCUUUAGAAGCAACGGUCAUUCCUUCAAUAAAUUCUUCGACAUAGACAUUAGGAGCAUAGUUUUCAUAGCAAUAUUCAAGUAUGUCAAGAUUUUCAGAUUCGUAAAGAGUAGUAUCAUACUUUUCAAUCUGUCGGAUCUCGGGUUCCGGCAAAACCCUUAAGGUUCGAACUCUGGGGUGCGCGUGAAGUUCUUUCCCUCCUACCGAUCCACGCCCUAGCUUGCUAAGAUCUCACAGACGAACUCGACGAACUCGCAACACAGAAAGACACGAGAUUUAUACUGGUUCGGGCCACCGAUGUGGUGUAAUACCCUACUCCAGUGUGUGGUGGUGGAUUGCCUCUUGGGCUGAUGAUGAAUAGUACAAGGGGAAGAACAGCCUCCUGAGGUUGAGGUGUUCUUGUGCUCGGUGAACUUGUGCGGUGAGAGCGUGACUUCCCCCUUCCUCUACUAUGGUGGCUAGCUCUACUUAUAUAGGCCCUGGUCCUCUCCCCAAAUACUGAAGGGGAAGGGAGCCAACAAUGGCGGGCAAAUUUGAAAGGGGACAGCUAGCACAAGCUAUCCUGACAAAAGCGGUCUUCCCCUGCAAAAGGCUUUGGUGAUGACGCCGUCUUGGGCUCCAUGGUGACCUCCGUCUUGCCGUCCUGCUGGUCUUGGUCUCAUUGCACCGAUAUGGAAACCUUUGCUUGACGCCUCGGUACUCCGUGCCUGCACCUGCUUAUUUAGCACCAAAGAGGAAACAAGGACGUUGCGCGCCCUGGCGCCCACCUGGCGCCUGCCUGGUGUCGAUCGUCAUGGCUCACAUCACGAGAGCCUCGUGAGAUUUGCCCCGCCUUGAUAUCUCCGCUCCUCGUGAGCCUGCCUGGCUAGGCCGCUCCUGAGGAGGUCUUGCGUCGUCCGCCUCGCGAGGCUCGGCCCCUCGCGAAGGUCUUGAUUGCCUUGUUGAUGAAGAUGGGCCGUACAGCCCGCUAGCUUAGCCACACCAUGGGCCGCAGGCAGGCAAGUCUGGGGACCCCCGUUCCCAGAACGCCGACACAAUCAAAGAAGCAACUUCAAAAGAACCCUUAAAAGCAACAAAUUCUUCAAUUUGUUCAAUAUCAUAGUAGCUAUAAACACCCUUUGCAUAAGAAGAUAAGAUUUUAUUCUCAUUAAACUCACAUAGGUAGGGAAGGUGUUUUUUAGGGUUCUUAGAACAACAAGUAAUAUCAAAAAUUUCACAAAGAUUCCAAGCAUAACACAGCAAUUUGUUUAUUUGAUUCCAUAAGAGUUUCCCUUUUUCAGACAAACGGUGACGCACAAAAUGAGCAUGCUCAUCGAAAGAUUUCCCAUCAACUAGGCUAGUUCGGAUUUCAGCACGAGCACAUAAGGAUCGAAGAUGAUCCAAGUAGAACACUUUAAGUGGAUCCAUAUCAAUAGAUUUUUAGCAAGCAAAGAUGCAAGCAAAUAGAAGGCACGUGGAAACACAAACAAAAAGGCAUACGGGAAGAAGGCGAAUAAAACGGCAAGGGUGAAGUGGGGGAGAGGAAAACGAGAGGCAAAUGGCAAAUAAUGUAAUGUGGGGGAUAAGGGUUUGUGAUGGGUACUUGGUAUGUUGACUUUUGCGUAGACUCCCCGGCAACGGCGCCAGAAAUGGCUCGUUGACGGGAAAUCAAAUCUUGACUUGACCUUGCGUAAGCCUCCCCGGCAACGGCGCCAGAAAUCCUUCUUGCUACCUCUUGAGCACUGCGUUGGUUUUCCCUUGAAGAGGAUAGGGUGAUGCAGUAAAGCAGCGUAAGUAUUCCCCACAGUUUUUGAGAACCAAGGUAUCAAUCCAGUAGGAGGCCAUGCACGAGUCCCUCGCACCUACACAAACAAAUAAAAUCCUCGCAACCAACGCAAUAAAGGGGUUGUCAAUCCCUUCACGGUUACUUACGAAAGUGAGAUUUGAUAGAUAUGAUAAGAUAAUAUUUUUGGUAUUUUUAUGAUAAAGAUGCAAAGUAAAAUAAAAGGCAAUAACAAUAGCUAAGUGUUGGAAGAUUAAUAUGAUGGAAAAUAGACACGGGGGCCAUAGGUUUCACUAGUGGCUUCUCUCGAGAGCAUAAGUAUUACGGUGGGUAAACAAAUUACUGUUGAGCAAUUGACAGAAUUGAGCAUAGUUAUGAGAAUAUCUAGGUAUGAUCAUGUAUAUAGGCAUCACGUCCGCGACAAGUAGACCGAGUCCUGCGUGCAUCUACUACUAUUACUCCACACAUCGACCGCUAUCCAGCAUGCAUCUAGAGUAUUAAGUUCAAAAGAACAGAGUAAAGCUUUAAGUAAGAUGACAUGAUGUAGAGGGAUAAACUCAUGCAAUAUAAUAUAAACCCCAUCUUGUUAUCCUUGAUGGCAACAAUACAAUACGUGCCUUGCUGCCCCUAGUGUCACUGGGAAAGGACACCGCAAGAUUGAGCCCAAAGCUAAGCACUUCUCCCAUUGCAAGAAAGAUCAAUCUAGUAGGCCAAACCAAACUGAUAAUUCGAAGAGACUUGCAAAGAUAACUAAUCAUACAUAAAAGAAUUCAGAGAAGAUUCAAAUAUUGUUCAUAGAUAAACAUGAUCAUAAACCCACAAUUCAUCGGUCUCAACAAACACACAACAAAAGAAGAUUACAUCGAAUAGAUCUCCACAAGAGAGGGGGAGAACAUUGUAUUGAGAUCCAAAAAGAGAGAAGAAGCCAUCUAGCUAAUAACUAUGGACCCGAAGGUCUGAGGUAAACUACUCACACAUCAUCGGAGAGGCUAUGGUGUUGAUGUAGAAGCCCUCCGUGAUCGAUGCCCCCUCCGGCGGAGCUCCGGAAAAGGCCCUAAGAUGGGAUCUCACGGGUACAGAAGGUUGCAGCGGUGGAAUUAGGUUUUUGGCUCCGUAUCUGGUAGUUUGGGGGUACGUAGGUAUAUAUAGGAGGAAGAAGUACGUCGGUGGAGCAACAUGGGGCCCACUAGGGUGGAGGGCGCGCCCAGGGGGGUAGGCGCGCCCCCUACCUCAUGCCUUCCUGGUAGCUUUCUUGACGUAGGGUCCAAGUCCUCUGGAUCACGUUCGUUCCCGAAGGUUUCAUUCCGUUUGGACUUCGUUUGAUAUUCUUUUUCUGCGAAACUCUGAAAUAGGCAAAAAACAGCAAUUCUGGGUUGGGCCUCCGGUUAAUAGGUUAGUCCCAAAAAUAAUAUAAAAGUGUAUAAUAAAGCCCAUUAAUGUCCAAAACAGAAUAUAAUAUAGCAUGGAACAAUCAAAAAUUAUAGAUACGUUGGAGACGUAUCAAAGUACGUUCCACUCAUGCUCCAGGGCAUAGCCCGGACGUGGCUGAACAGCCUGAAGCCCCGCAGCACCAACAGCUGGAUUGACUUCACUGAAGCAUUCGUUCGCAACUUCACCAGGACGUACAAGCGGCCGCCCAAGCCUCGCCAACUCUCCUUGUGCGUCCAAGGCCCCAACGAGUCGACUCGCGACUACCUCACGCGCUGGGCCGAGCUGCGCAACUCUUGCGAGGGCAUGCACGAGGUGCAGGCCAUCGAAUACUUCACUGCCGGGUGCCGAGAGGGCACCCUCCUCAAGCACAAGCUUCUCUGCGAUGAGCCAGCGACCCUCGACGAACUGCUGAUCAUAGCAGACAAGUACGCCACGGCCGAGUCCUCCAUGAAGGCAGAGAUCCAAGUUAAUGCGUCAGGCAAGGUGGCCCCUCAAGCUCCUCGGACCCCUGCUGGUGACACCAGCCGGCGAUAACAACCAAACGACAACAAGCUCAAGGGCAUGUAGCCGGCUUCCACAAGCCGGCAGGUGGCAACGGUCGAAGAUCAGCAGCCGGAAGUGCAGCCUCCUCCCAAGCGCCAGAAGGGCGACAAGCCCAACUGGUUGCCCGCCUUCUCAUACGAGCAGACCCUUGAGGCACCCUGCAAGUUCCACAGCGGCGCGAAGCCGUCCAACCACACCACUCGGAAGUGCCACUGGCUCACCAGGAUCGCCAAGGGUGAUGGACUCCAGCCCCCUCCACCUGCCGGCCCGCCGCCUCCUCCUCCUCAACAGCCGGCGGUUCGGCCAGUCGGCGCCAUACAAGAUGAAUACCCUGAAGAGCAUGGAGCUUAUGUCGUGUUCACCAGCGUGGCCCACGGCAGGCGCAGCAGACGGCAGCAGCAACAGGAAGUAAAUGCGGUAGCAUCAGAAACCCCCGAGUUCAUGCAUUGGUCUGAGAAGCCCAUCAGCUGGAGCAGAGCUGACCACCCGGAGGUGAUGACCAAUCCCGGCUCCUAUGCUCUGGUGUUGGAUGCCACCUUUGCCACGGAGAGGCGAGCUGCUCGUUUCUCCCGAGUUCUGAUAGAUGGCGGCAACAGCAUCAACAUUCUGUACAAAGAUACCAUGGAGAAGUUGGGAAUCAAGCAGAGACAUCUUUAGCCCAGCCGGACUGUUUUCCAUGGCAUAGUUCCUGGCCUUUCCUGCUCGCCAAUCGGCAAGACUCAGAUAGAUGUCCUCCUCGGGGACCAAAAUCAUUUCCGCCGAGAGCCAGUCUGGUUUGAGGUGGUGGACCUUGAGAGCCCUUAUCAUGCAUUACUUGGUCGGCCUGCCCUGGCCAAGUUCAUGGCAGUCCCCCACUAUGCUUACCUGAAGAUGAAGAUGCCGAGCUCCAAGGGAAUCCUGACCAUAGCAGGGGACUACAAGAAGUCGUCCGCCUGCGCAGCACAGAGCAGCCGGUUAGCCGAGUCCCUCGUGAUCGCGGCUGAGAAGCGGCUCCUUGACCGGGUUGUGGCGAUGGCCGGCAAGCAGCCGGAGAUGUCAUCCAACCCCAAGGAGUAGGAAGCCGAGGGCUCGUUCAAACCGGCGAAAGAAAUGAAGAAGAUACCCUUGGACCCAGAGCACCCGGAGAGGCACGCUGUCAUAGGUACAAACCUUGACAGCAAAUAGGAAGGCGAGCUCGUCGAUUUCCUCCUUGAGAAUCGGGACAUCUUUGCAUGGUCUCCCAAGGACAUGUCGGGUGUUCCGACGGAAUUCGCCGAGCACAAGCUACACGUCCGGUCCGAUGCCAAGCCAGUCAGGCAGCCCUUGCGCCGCCUGUCGGAGGAGAAGAGAAGAGUCGUUGGAGAAGAGAUAGCCCGCCUUCUAGCAGCCGGCUUCAUCAUGGAAGUAUUCUUUCUAGAGUGGUUAGCCAACCCGGUCCUAGUGCUGAAGAAGAACAAGCAGUGGCACAUGUGUAUUGAUUAUACCAGCCUCAACAAAGCAUGCCCUAAAGACCCAUUUGCUUUGCCAAGAAUUGACCAAGUGAUAGACUCCACAGCCGGAUGCGAGCUGUUGAGAUUUUUGGAUGCAUACUCAGGGUAUCAACAGAUCAAACUGAACCCGGCCGACAAGCUGAAGACCGCCUUCAUCACGCCAUUCGGAGCCUUCUGCUACCUGACCAUGACAUUCGGCUUGAGAAACGCCGGCGCCACGUUUCAACGUUGCAUGCAGAAGUGCCUCCUCAAGCAACUCGGCAGAAACGCCCACGUCUAUGUGGACGAUGUGGUGGUGAAGACGGAAAAGCGUGGAACGCUGCUAGAAGACCUCAAGGAGACCUUUGAGAACUUGUGCCGAUUUCAGAUCAAGCUAAACCCGGAAAAAUGCGUCUUUGGAGUACCAGCCGGCCAGCUUCUUGGCUUCCUGGUCUCAGAGCGCGGCAUAGAGUGCAACCCUGUGAAGAUCAAGGCCAUCGAGAGGAUGGAAGUACCCACCCGACUGCUGGACGUGCAAAAAUUCACCGGCUGCUUGGCAUCCAUCAGCCGUUUCAUCAGUCGGCUGGGCGAGAAGGCUCUUCCCCUGUACCAGCUCAUGAACAAGACCACUUUUUUCGAGUGGAACGACAAGGCGGAUGAAGCUUUCCUCCAGCUCAAGAAGAUGUUGACCACUCCACCUGUCCUGGCGGCGCCUACUCCUAAGGAGCCCAUGCUCCUCUACAUCGCCGCCACCAGCCGGGUGGUCAGCAUAGUCAUAGUGGUGGAACGCAAGGAAGAAGGCAAAGCACUACCAGUCCAGAGGCCGGUGUAUUACCUGAGUGAAGUGUUGUCCGCCUCUAAGAAAAACUACCCCCACUACCAGAAGAUGUGCUACGGCGUGCACUUUGCCGCCAAGAAACUGAAGCCAUACUUCCAAGAGCACCCAAUCACUGUGGUCUGCACAGCUCCACUUGCCGAGAUCAUUGGAAGCCGAGAUGCCUCAGGCCGAGUGGCCAAAUGGGCCAUAGAUUUGGCCCCCUACACCAUCUACUACCAGCCUCGCACCGCCAUCAAGUCACAAGCACUGGCCGACUUCCUCGUCGACUGGGCCAAGACCCAGUACCUGCCGCCAGCGCCAGAUUCAACUCAUUGGCGAAUGCACUUUGAUGGUUCCAAGAUGCGCACCGGUUUGGGAGCCGGCAUCGUCCUCACCUCUCCCAAAGGCGACAAGCUCAGAUAUGUGCUGCAAAUUCACUUUGCCACCUCCAACAACGUUGCUGAAUACGAAGCACUCAUUCACGGGCUCCGGCUUGCCAAGGAACUCGGCAUUCGCCGAAUCCUGUGCUAUGGAGAUUCCGACUUGCUGGUCCAGCAGUCCUCUGGUGACUGGGACGCCAAGGAUGCAAAUAUGGCCAGCUACCGCUUCCUCGUCCAGCAACUCAGCAGAUAGUUUGAAGGGUGCGAGUUCCUCCAUGUGCCAAGAAAUGACAAUGAGCAAGCUGACGCCUUGGCACGAAUCGGCUCCACUCGGCAAGCAAUACCAGCCGGGGUCGCCUUGCAACGCCUCCUCAAGCCGUCUGUCAAGCCAUCGCCAGAGUCAGACUUCGUGUCGGCUCCUCCUGAAGCAGUCGGAUUCGACUUGAGGACCCCAGCAGCCGGCAUGGGGAAUUCGGCAGGCGACCCGGGGACUGCAGCAGCCGCACCCGGCCCGGGGACUGCAGCAGUCCGCCCGGGGACUUCAUCGACGCAGCAAGCGGCAGCCGACUCCAACCCGCCGCCUCCCGGCCCAACCGCCCUCGUGCAAGUACCAGUCCUAGCGGUCGAAGAAAUUGCAGCACCUUCAUGGGCUCAGCCCAUCUUCAACUUUCUGGUAAACAAAGAGCUGCCGACUGAUGAGAUCUCGACCCGGCAAGUACAACGCCGAGCAGCAGCAUACACCAUUGUCAACAGAGAGCUUGUAAGGCGCAGCGUCACUGGUGUGUACCAGUGCUGUGUAGAGCCGGAGCAAGGCCAAACAAUCCUCAAAGAUAUCCAUCAAGGCGAGUGUGGUCACCACGCGGCUUCAAGAGCACUCAUGGCCAAAGCUUUCCGCCAUGGUUUUUUCUGGUCGAUUGCUCUAGAAGACGCCAAAGACUUGGUCCAGAAAUGCAAAGGGUGUAAGAAGUUCCGCUCCAAGCCUCAUCAGCCGGCUUCUGCACUCAAGCCUAUCCCCAUUGUCUGCCCCUUUGCCGUCUAGGGCCUAGACAUGGUGGGGCCAUUCAAGACGGCGCGCGGCGGCAUGACUCAUCUGCUUGUCGCGGUGGACAAGUUCACGAAGUGGAUAGAAGCAAAGCCAAUUAAGAAGUUGAAUGGUCCGACUGCUGUGACUUUCAUCUCCGACAUCACCAUCCGGUAUGGCAUACCACACAGCAUCAUCACUCACAACGGCACAAACUUUGCCAAAGGCGCCUUGGCCCGUUUCUGCGCGACGCAGGGCAUUCGACUGGACCUAGCGUCCAUUGCCCAUCCGCAGUCAAACGGCCAGGUGGAGCGAGCAAACGGCCUCAUUUUGUCCGGCAUCAAGCCCCGACUGGUCGAGCCUCUGGAGCGUUCGGCCGGCUGUUGGCUCGAUGAGCUGCCGGCCGUCCUCUGGAGCCUGUGCACAACUCCGAACAAGUCAACCGGUUUCACACCUUUCUUCCUCGUUUACGGUGCUGAAGCCGUCAUCCCGACGGACAUAGAAUUCGACUCCCCUCGAGUCACCAUGUACACCGAAGAGGAGGCAAAAGAAGCACGAGAAGACGGCGUCGAUCUGCUGGAAGAGGGCCGGCUGUUGGCACUCAGCCGGUCCACCAUCUACCAGCAGAGCCUGCGCCGAUACUACAAUCGAAAGGUCAAGCCAAGAUCCUUCCAAGAGGGAGACCUUGUGCUCCGGCUGAUCCAGCGAACAGCCGGCCAGCACAAGCUCUCGGCACCUUGGGAAGGCCUCUUCAUCAUCAGCAAGGUGUUGGGCAAUGACUCCUACUACCCGAUCGACGCUCAGAAGCCUCGAGCACGCAAAAGAGACGACUCCGGCAAGGAGACGGAGCGACCAUGGAAUGCAAACCUCCUCCGAAGGUUUUACAGUUGAUGCAGUAUGUACCAUGCCAACUUUUGCAUUAAGCACGAAGACUCCGGGUCCCCCGAGAAGAGCUCGGGGACUGCCCUCUUUUAUCUAUAUGAUAAGUAUUAUGCCUAUGAAAGUGUUAUUUCUUUAGUCCGUCUGGCACUGGGUCCGACCAAUCGACCCGGGGACUCGCCGCCUUGUACUAUGUAAUUCUUCCUGCAGCCGGACAAGUAAUGCGUUGGCACUUAAGCCCUCUCCUGCCAGAAGCCGCAGCUCGCAGAGCGACUGUCCGGCGGGCAGGAGUAAAGUUAGAAAGAGUGUCCGCAUGAAAAAUGGCUAAGGACCCAAAGCGUGCACAUAGUUCAAGCCGGCUUCUCGCGUCGCCGACCGACUGCUAAGCAGCCGGUCGGCCGGUUUCUACUUAACUUGCUAGAAAACUCUAACCGGCUAAGUACUUGCCUCCCCGAAAGUGGCUAAGUACUUGACCCAGCCACAGUCCGCAGAGCUGCUGUUCGGCUGGCAAGACGGCGACCAAGGGAAGGCCGCAAAGGAAAAAAAGCCAAAGAGCAGAAAGCAAGGAAAGAUAGAACUCGGCAAAUAUAUUUACACAUCAAAAUGCCCUUGGCCAGCGUUCAACGGAAGUUUGAAAUACACCCCGCGGGUGGAAUUGUACGAAGUUAACAAGUUUGUCGAGACUACUAAGCAGGUAAAAACAAAAGGUAAAUUGGCAGCCUAGGAAGCAGCAGACGGGUCCGGCAGAACGGUGGAGUCGGUGGUGCCGGUUGGUGGAGCGACUGGCUGGUCAGUCUCCGCUUGGUCGCUUUCAGCAGCAGCCGGCUCGCUCGGGCGUGGCUCAUUGCUGGAGGCACGGUCGAGCUGAGGCUGUGUGACGCCCGGAUAAUGAAGCUACAGUAACUAUCUACUAAUGAUGCCACGUCACCUCGAUUACUGUUGCUAAUCUCGCGUUAGUUCGAAAUCAUUCAAAUUCAAAUUCAAAAUCAAGCAAACAAUAAAAAAUUUCAAAUAUUAAAACUAAAAAUGUUCGGGGUAAGCCAAAUAAUGCAUAGGUAAGUAUGGUGGAGAAACCACACUUUUAGAAAUGGUUUAAAUACUUUAAAAUAUUUUAAACAGUAGCAAAAACAAUUAGUUGAAUGCCUUUUACAAAAAAAAUAUUAAACUAUUUUAUUUAGUUGCCCAAACUUAUGUGGCAGUAGCCUAUUUAUUAACACUAAAUUAGGGACUACUUUCAUAGUUUAUAAAACAAAAAUAAAAGAGGAACUNNNNNNNNNNNNNNNNNNNNNNNNNNNNNNNNNNNNNNNNNNNNNNNNNNNNNNNNNNNNNNNNNNNNNNNNNNNNNNNNNNNNNNNNNNNNNNNNNNNNNNNNNNNNNNNNNNNNNNNNNNNNNNNNNNNNNNNNNNNNNNNNNNNNNNNNNNNNNNNNNNNNNNNNNNNNNNNNNNNNNNNNNNNNNNNNNNNNNNNNNNNNNNNNNNNNNNNNNNNNNNNNNNNNNNNNNNNNNNNNNNNNNNNNNNNNNNNNNNNNNNNNNNNNNNNNNNNNNNNNNNNNNNNNNNNNNNNNNNNNNNNNNNNNNNNNNNNNNNNNNNNNNNNNNNNNNNNNNNNNNNNNNNNNNNNNNNNNNNNNNNNNNNNNNNNNNNNNNNNNNNNNNNNNNNNNNNNNNNNNNNNNNNNNNNNNNNNNNNNNNNNNNNNNNNNNNNNNNNNNNNNNNNNNNNNNNNNNNNNNNNNNNNNNNNNNNNNNNNNNNNNNNNNNNNNNNNNNNNNNNNNNNNNNNNNNNNNNNNNNNNNNNNNNNNNNNNNNNNNNNNNNNNNNNNNNNNNNNNNNNNNNNNNNNNNNNNNNNNNNNNNNNNNNNNNNNNCGAGUGCGCUCGGCCGCGCUCACCGCCUCAUCCGCCACGCUCCCGCGCGCUCCCUGCUGCGUCGUGCCCGCGCAAGCCCCGCUCGCUCCUUUGCCUGCUGCUGCUGCUCACGCCGACCCCGCCACUGCGCGCUCACCGCAGCGCCCCGCAGCUCCUCCGCCGCACGGCACCCACUGCUGCGGCCUAGCUGGCCCGCACGCUCGUAGCUGCGCACCGCUUCAGCUCCACCACUCGCCACCCCGCUCCGGCCUCCCUCGCCGUGCUCCGCCUCCCCACGUCGGUCGCCGGUCGCUCGCCGUUGCGCUCAUCGCUGCGCCGGGGCGCCCGGUUCCACACGGGCGCCGGCGCCCACGCCCGCACGCCCGCGCCCGUAGAACCCGUCGCCCGCACGCCCGAACCGAUAUGGCCCUUAGGGCCAAUGACAUGUGGGGCCCGCCCCUGUGAAACAUUUUUUUAGAAAAAAAUAAUUUAAAAAUUAAUUAAUUAAAUUAAUUAAUCCUGAUUAGGUAGCUAAUUAAAACCUAAUUAAUAUACUAAUAAAACUAACUAAUGUUGAUUAGUGAUCAGUCAAUGACAGUGGGGCCCUCCUGUCGGUUUGACCCAGUCAACGGUCAGAGUUGACCACUGAUGUCAUGCUGACGUCAUAAAAUGAUUUUCGAAUUAAAUAAAUUCUGUUAAUUCUAAAAUUGAAUUAAAACUUUAAAAAUUAAUAUAAAAUAAUCCGUAACUCGGAUGAAAAUACUUUGUACAUGAAAGUUGCUCAGAACGACGCGACGAAUCCGAAUACGCAGCCCGUUCGUCCGCCACACAUCCCUAGCAUAGCGAACACGCAACUUUGCCCCCUCCGUUUCAUCUGUCCGAAAAUGCGAAACAUCGGGGAUACUUUCCCGGAUGUUCCCCCCCUUCGCCGGUACCACCUACCGCCGCGUUAGGGCGCACCUAGCACCGCUCAUUGUCAUGUCACGCAUCAUCAUGCUUAUGUUUGCAUUGUAUUUACUGUUUCUUCCCCCUCUUCGAUCCGGUAGACUACGAGACCGACACUGCUGCUGCCCAGUUCGACUACGGAGUUGACGACCCCUCCUACUUGCCAGAGCAACCAGGCAAGCCCCCCCCCCCUUGAUCACCAGAUAUCGCCUAUUCUUCUCUAUACUGCUUGCAUUAGAGUAGUGUAGCAUGUUACUGCUUUCCGUUAAUCCUAUCCUGAUGCAUAGCCUGUCCUUGCUACUACUGUUGUUACCUUUACCUGCAAUCCUACAUGCUUAGUAUAGGAUGCUAGUUUUUCCACCAGUGGCCCUACAUUCUUGUCCGUCUGCUGUGUUAUAUUAUCGGGCCGUGAUCACUUGGGCGGUGAUCACGGGUAUAUACUUAUAUAAUCUAUACAUGACACCUGUGGUGACUAAAGUCGGGUCGGCUCGUAGGAGUACCCGCAAGUGGAUCUUUGUGGCAGAGCGACAGGGCAGGUUGAGACCACCUAGGCGAGAGGUGGGCCUGGCCCUGGACGGCGUCCGCGGUUACUUCAAAAUAACACGCUUAACGAGAUCUUGGUAUUUGAUCUGAGUCUGGCCAUUUGGUCUAUAUGCACUAACCAACUACGCGGGAACAGUUAUGGGCACUCGGCGUCGUGGUAUCAGCCGAAGCCUUCGUGACGUCAGCGACUGAGUGGCGCGUGCUGGAUUGGACUGGAAGGCCACUAGGCUAGGUCUGCUUCCUGCCGCGUUCGCAACAUGCAGGUGUGCAAUGGGCGAUGGGCCCAGACCCCUGCGCCAUAGGAUUUAGACCGGCGUGCUGACCUCUCUGUUGUGCCUCGGUGGGGCUGCGACGUGUUGAUCUUACGAGGCCGGGCAUGACCCAGAAAAGUGUGUCCGGCCAAAUGGGAUCGAGCGUGUUGGGUUAUGUGGUGCACCCCUGCAGGGAAGUUUAUCUAUUCGAAUAGCCGUGUCCCUCGGUAAAAGGACGACCCGGAGCUGUACCUUGACCUUAUGACAACUAGAACUGGAUACUUAAUAAAACACACCCUUCCCAGUGCUAGAUAUAACCCGAUGAUCGCUCUCUAACAGGGCGACGAGGAGGGGAUCGCCGGGUAGGAUUAUGCUAUGUGAUGCUACUUGGUGAACUUACCAUCUACUCUCUUCUAUAUGCUGCAAGAUGGAGGUGGCCAGAAGCGUAGUCUUCGACAGGAUUAGCUAUCCCCCUCUUAUUCUGGCAUUCUGCAGUUCAGUCCACCGAUAUGGCCCUUUACACAUAUAUCCAUGCAUAUGUAGUGUAGCUCCUUGCUUGCGAGUACUUUGGAUGAGUACUCACGGUUGCUUUUCUCCCUCUUUUCCCCCUUUCCUUUCUACCUGGUUGUCGCAACCAGAUGCUGGAGCCCAGGAGCCAGACGCCACCGUCGGCGACGACUCCUACUACACCGGAGGAGCCUACUACUACGUGCAGCCGGCUGACGACGGCCAGGAGUAGUUAGGAGGUCCCAGGCAGGAGGCCUUGCCUUUUCGAUCGUUGCUACUUUUGUGCUAGCCUUCUUAAGGCAAACUUGUUUAACUUAUGUCUGUACUCAGAUAUUGUUGCUUCCGCUGACUCGUCUAUGAUCGAGCACUUGUAUUCGAGCCCUCGAGGCCCUUGGCUUGUAUUAUGAUGCUUGUAUGACUUAUUUAUGUUUUAGAGUUGUGUUGUGAUAUCUUCCCGUGAGUCCCUGAUCUUGAUCGUACACAUUUGCGUGCAUGAUUAGUGUACGGUCAAAUCGCGGGCGUCACAAGUUGGUAUCAGAGCCGACCGCCUGUAGGAAUCCCCCUUUCCAACUCCUUGGCCGAAGUCGAGUCUAGUCAUUGGAAAAGUUUUUACUAACAUGGUUGUGUGUCUUACGGGCCCACGUCGCCAUUGGGUGGUACUAGGAUUUUUACUCCUCGACCUUUACUCUGGGACUCUGAUCUCUCUCCUAUUCGGGUUAAAUAAAUUUUGCUAAAUCUAACAUUAGGAUCUCGUUAUCACUUUCACCCGGAGAGCCCCUUAUUACUGAUGAUCGUCUGCUGCACGUGAAGACCCUGAAGAUACUCUCCGCUGAUAACCCGAGAACUUGUGUUCAUCGCUUUUGCAAUUCCCUUUCAUCGAUAAACUCCUAUGGAUAACCACGUAUACUCGCCAUUCAUACAAUGUUUCCCAGUUGAUCUUGUUAUUACAAGAUACCCCGAAAUUCUCUCUGUUGUUCCGAGAAUCCUUUGAGCUUACUACCUUGCUGUUCUUUGUCACCUGAAUACCCCUACGGAUAAUUCUCGCACUUACCGAGUAUCCGCUCAUCCCCAGUUGAUUCAAGUAUUUCACAAAAGUGUUCAAAAUACCAUUCGAUCUUCUGAAAAUCCUCAAUAGCCUUUUUGCUCUUGAAAUUCUUGCUUACUUGCAUUAUGAUUCAUCUUAAGUCUCGUAACCUUAUUGGCAUCUCUUGUCAUUAUCAUUUUGAGUCCGUUGAUUCAAUUUGUUGUGAAUGCUUGCAAUCCUCAAUCAGAGCCUAGAAUUCAUCCUUCCGGCUCGGACGUCAUUUUGAACAUGAGCUGGUUGUCGACCAAUCAAAUUGCCACCGUUUGUGCCUCUAAGUCUAUUCAACUUACUUGUCUUUUGAUCAGAGCAUCUGCUUUUGAUCCCCCAAUUUGGAAAUCAUAAUUCCUUGCAUUUAAGGUCUCGAAUUAUCUAGAUUUUUCUAUAAUCCGACGCCUUGGAAUUAUUUCUUCUUCUGGCUGAACAUAUAUACUCAAAUCAGUUUCUUUGCGGUCCGCCAGAUCCUUUGGUGGAUUAUUAUCCGACCGUUCCUGCAUAUUCUCAAAACCUUGAGUUCUUCCCCUGAUACACCAUGCCUUUGGUAAAUUGUAUCCUCUGUUUUCUCAACCAUGCUCUGUUUUUGAGCUGGUGGUAUUUACUAUUGAAGCUUGUGGUAUAUGUUUCCACGAUACCCUGAUGGGUUGAACCUAUGCCUUCCUUAAUAUGUGUGAACUCGGAAGUUUUCACGAGUCAUACUCAUCUGGUAUUUCACCGGGUAAAACUUUCAACACUAAUGCCUUUAUCAAGGCGAGAAGUGAAUGAAAGGUUAUGCAUUAAAGAAGUGGGAGUCGACCUUGAACUUUGUGUUCAUGCCCAUGGACACGAUGUUAAUCUUAUCAUGGAAGCUUCUCGUAAAAUAGUUACCCCCUUGUUAUAAGUUCUUGUAUCCGUGGUUUGAUCAUUUACAAAUGUGGUUCUGACCAUACUGUUCCCCUUGAUUCAAUUUCUCAGACAAGUUAAACCACUUGUCCUCUGCAGAUCAUUGCACCUGUCCAACCUUUACUUUGAUCUACCGUCGAGUAUUACCCCCUGGUAUCUCGAGAUUAUCACGAGCAACAUAACUUCUUAUGAGUUCUUCAUCAACUAAUAUUCUUGCCGAUUCCAUUUUUCCAACGGGUUCUGAGUUGUUAGAACCCCUCAAGGACACCAACAACUGAAUCGAGUCCGCACUGCGAUUCAACAACUCUUGGUAACCUUCAUUACUUACGAGUUUGAACUCGAUCACGUCAUUCCUAGCCUACUCGGCUACAUCAUUAUCGUGCUGAUUUUAACUGUGCUACCUGGUCCUUAAUCACGGAGCACAACCUUUGACGGUGAGCUAAUCUUACGUCGAUCUUCCUCAUCAUAUCACUUCUCCUUGAACAGCAAACUUGAUUUCGAGUUUGUGUCGUACCCAGGGUUCCAAUAAUCUUUCGCUUCAUCAUUCCUUUGACUUGAUGUCAUCGCCGAGCGAUUGCAUCUUCAUGGAAUCUCUCGACAAAUGUGUCGUGAUCAUCAUGAGCAUUCUGAGUCCUUCCAGAAUAUCAAUUGAAUUCAUGAUGAGAAAGAUCAUCCUUUCCCUCGAUGAUUUGUGUUAUCAUCGGCCACUUUACUGCCUUCCCUCCAACACAGACUUGCUCGUGUUUUGUGUUAUACCUUGAGAUCCUUGCUAUCCAGCAUUUAUUCCUCUUUACUUUGGAGUAUUACCAUCUUUUAUAUCAAGAAUGUCGUGAGAAUUUCACCACCUCUUUAGAAUUCUUGAUAUAGUAAUACAUCUUGCCGUCUACAUUCAGUUCUUGGUCCCCAUGUUGAUUUUAACCAAGUACCCACAAAUGAACUGUGAUGUGUAAAAUUCAAAACUUCCAGCAACCCUAUUGCUUGUAAGUUAAUGAACGAUAGUUCAUUCCUUGUGUAUUGGUUAUCGAAUCACCAUUCUAAACUUGAUCAUGCUACCUAAGCCCAUAUUCGGGUGCACCUUUCAACCAAUGUUUAAUUGUGUAUGUUUUCCUUGAGCAUACAUCAUUAAGUCAUUCGAUCUAGCUAAUGUUAUCUCCUUGUUCACAUAGUUGUGGAAAUCCAUCUUUUGGAGAUCUCAAUGGAUUGUCGCUGAGUCAAUCAGUCACCUCCUCACCUCUCCUUGAUUUAAUGAUGAACCCUUGUUCAGAACUCGCUUCCAUAGUUCAUCUCCCGAGAAUCUUCGAUGUCGUUUCGACAAUUUGUGUUGCACCUUUCUUCUCAGGCAUCCUGAGUCUGAGUUAUCCUGACACCAAUCAGAUCUGAAUCUCGGUCAAAUAUGAUGGUUGGAACAUAUUUCCAAGAGUUAUAACAUUGGUCUAAUCAUGACCCGGUAAGGUGGUGUCAUGCCUAGUACACCUGGCCGGAGGACCUAUUGUUAUAGUUUCCUUGUUAGCAAGGCUAUCCAUUCUUCCGUGAGGAAAUUGUAAGACUUAUUCUACAAGUUAUUCCUGAUGAAUCCAUUGAGUAUCCAAAGUCCGACCUUUGCUUGAAGACCAUGUCAAUACUAUCUCGAAGCAUGUCUGUGGUACUCCGAUUUUUGACAAGAACAUUUGAAACCCAAUGCUAAAUGUUUUCUUGCUCAAUUAUCCAAACACCGUUGUAUGGGUAAUGUCAUGAAAUUUCUCUCCCCUUACCUAAAGGGUUUUCUAUAUUAUAUCAUGUCAUGGAUAUCUUGCUCUACUUGUCCUUGGGAAGGAUAUACCCCUGAAAUAUGUGUUUAAACACAUUUUCCUUUCCAUUGUUCUGUUUAGUCUGAUGAUCACAUAUUUCUUUCCAUUGGUUUGUUUAACCUUUCUUGUGAUCUAUAUGAUCUAAGCAGUAAUAUUUCCCUGCUUAUGUAAACACCUCAUUGUACAAUUCUGUCAGCAAGACCCUGUUACUAUUGUUGAUUACAUUCUGGUAGCCACCGAUGGAUGCGAACUUUGCCUAUUGGUCCGCCUCGUUCAACGAGCAGGAAAAUGGUUCUCUUCGUCCCUCGCCCUAGGUACCAACGUUGUUGCCAACAAAACUGACAGGCUAUCCUCUGACAUACUUUGCUAUCUUGACCGUGCAAAUGUCAUCGCCCUUCCUAUUUUUAACCCACAUGGUGGGCCCAUAACCCACGGUUCCACAGGAUCAAAACCUGACUCUCAUGUAGACCCUAUUGCCAAAGAUAUUCCUUGAGCUUGGCUUCGUAUGCAAUUCACGAACCACAUUCCUAGUGAUCUAUUCUGGUAUCAGACACAAUACUUAUUCCCGUUGCUUGAACCCCUUUCACACUUUGUUUCAGGCAUCGAAUGAUUGCCUGUCCGCUCGAAACUUCCCAUAAUACCUCCUCGCUUUGCUCUCGAUAAUGUCUUAAGUUACAAAUUCGAGAGUUACUUUACGCGACCUUCCCUGAUGUUAUCUACUAGAUAAGCAAACAUUGUAGCGGUCCGUUCUUCCGUAAUACCCCUUAUCCUUUCGUAAGUACGAUGGAGUUCUUGAAGAAAGGACGACAACUUCAUCAUGAUGCAUUGCAAUAAAGAAUUGAAGACAUCAACGAAAGGGAUUAACUUCUUCGAGAAGAUUCGUUAGAAUAUCGUAACCAGAACUUUCCCCCUUACUCCCCUCUUAAAUCUCGGGACGAGAUUUCUUGUAGUGGAGGAGAAUUGUGACGCCCGGCUAAUUAAGCUACAGUAACCAUCUACUAAUGAUGCCACGUCACCUCGAUUACUGUUGCUAAUCUUGCGUUAGUUCGAAAUCAUUCAAAUUCAAAUUCAAAAUCAAGCAAACAAUAAAAGUUUCAAAUAUUAAAACUAAAAAUGUUCGGGGUAAGCCAAAUAAUGCGUAGGUAAGUAUGGUGGAGAAACCACACUUUUAGAAAUGGUUUAAAUACUUUAAAAUAUUUUAAACAGUAGCAAAAACAAUUAGUUGAAUGCCUUUUACAAAAAAAAUAUUAAACUAUUUUAUUUAGUUGCCCAAACUUAUGUGGCAGUAGCCUAUUUAUUAACACUAAAUUAGGGACUACUUUUAUAGUUUAUAAAACUAAAAUAAAAGAGGAACUAAAGUAAAACAGAAAACAGAAAAGGAAAAUUAAACAAAAGUAAAACAAAAAUAAAAGAGAACCCCCCCGGGCCUCGGCCCAGCUGGCCUCUGGGCCAACCAGGCCGGCCCAGCCGCGCCUACAUACCCCCCCCACCCCUGAUCGAAACCCUAAACCGUUCUCCCCCACUUCCCCCAUUCUCCCCCACUCCCCCGAUCCCCCCAGGAUCUGGAUCGGGAGCGCCCAACUCUCGCCNNNNNNNNNNNNNNNNNNNNNNNNNNNNNNNNNNNNNNNNNNNNNNNNNNNNNNNNNNNNNNNNNNNNNNNNNNNNNNNNNNNNNNNNNNNNNNNNNNNNNNNNNNNNNNNNNNNNNNNNNNNNNNNNNNNNNNNNNNNNNNNNNNNNNNNNNNNNNNNNNNNNNNNNNNNNNNNNNNNNNNNNNNNNNNNNNNNNNNNNNNNNNNNNNNNNNNNNNNNNNNNNNNNNNNNNNNNNNNNNNNNNNNNNNNNNNNNNNNNNNNNNNNNNNNNNNNNNNNNNNNNNNNNNNNNNNNNNNNNNNNNNNNNNNNNNNNNNNNNNNNNNNNNNNNNNNNNNNNNNNNNNNNNNNNNNNNNNNNNNNNNNNNNNNNNNNNNNNNNNNNNNNNNNNNNNNNNNNNNNNNNNNNNNNNNNNNNNNNNNNNNNNNNNNNNNNNNNNNNNNNNNNNNNNNNNNNNNNNNNNNNNNNNNNNNNNNNNNACGGCGCCCGCUGCUGCGGCCUAGCUGGCCCGCACGCUCGCAGCUGCGCACCGCUUCAGCUCCGCCACUUGCCACCCCGCUCCGGCCUCCCUCGCCGUGCUCCGCCUCCCCACGUCGAUCGCUGGUCGCUCGCCGUUGCGCGCAUCGCUGCGCCGGCGCGCCCGGUUCCACACGGGCGCCGGCGCCCAUGCCCGCGCCCGUAGAACCCGCCACCCGCACGCCCGAACCGAUAUGGCCCUUAGGGCCAAUGACAUGUGGGGCCCGCCCCUGUUAAACGUUUUUUUGGAAAAAAAUAAUUUAAAUUAAUUUAAAAAUUAAUUAAUUAAUUAAUUAUUCCUGAUUAGGAAGCUAAUUAAAACCUAAUUAAUAUACUAAUAAAACUAACUAAUGUUGAUUAGUGAUCAGUCAAUGACAGUGGGGCCCUCCUGUCGGUUUGACUCAGGCAACGGUCAGAGUUGACCGCUGAUGUCAUGCUGACGUCAUAAAAUGAUUUUCAAAUUAAAUAAAUUCUGUUAAUUCUAAAAUUGAAUUAAAACUUUAAAAAUUAAUAUAAAAUAAUCCGUAACUCGGAUGAAAAUACUUUGUACAUGAAAGUUGCUCAGAACGACGCGACGAAUUCGAAUACGUAGCCCGUUCGUCCGCCACACAUCCCUAGCAUAGCGAACACGCAACUUUUCCCCCUCCGUUUCAUCUGUCCGAAAAUGCGAAACAUCGGGGAUACUUUCCCGAAUGUUCCCCCCCCCCCUUCGCCGGUACCACCUACUGCCGCGUUAGGGCGCACCUAGCACCGCUCAUUGUCAUGUCACGCAUCGUCAUGCUUAUGUUUGCAUUGUAUUUACUGUUUCUUCCCCCUCUUCGAUCCGGUAGACUACGAGACCGACGCUGCUGCUGCCCAGUUCGACUACGGAGUUGACGACCCCUCCUACUUGCCAGAGCAACCAGGCAAGCCCCCCCCUGAUCACCAGAUAUCGCCUAUUCUUCUCUAUACUGCUUGCAUUAGAGUAGUGUAGCAUGUUACUGCUUUCCGUUAAUCCUAUCCUGAUGCAUAGCCUGUCCUUGCUACUAUUGUUGUUACCUUUACCUGCAAUCCUACAUGCUUAGUAUAGGAUGCUAGUUUUUCCACCAGUGGCCCUACAUUCUUGUCCGUCUGCUGUGCUAUAUUAUCGGGCGGUGAUCACGGGUAUAUACUUAUAUAAUCUAUACAUGACACCUGUGGUGACUAAAGUCGGGUCGGCUCGUAGGAGUACCCGCAAGUGGAUCUUUGUGGCGGAGCGACAGGCCAGGUUGAGACCACCUAGGCGAGAGGUGGGCCUGGCCCUGGACGGCGUCCGCGGUUACUUCAAAAUAACACGCUUAACGAGAUCUUGGUAUUUGAUCUGAGUGGCCAUUUGGUCUAUACGCACUAACCAACUACGCGGGAACAGUUAUGGGCACUCGGCGUCGUGGUAUCAGCCGAAGCCUUCGUGACGUCAGCGACUGAGUGGCGCGCGCCGGAUUGGACUGGCACGCCACUAGGCUAGGUCUGCUUCCGGCCGUGUUCGCAACGUGCAGGUGUGCAAUGGGCGAUGGGCCCAGACCCCUGGGCCAUAGGAUUUAGAUCGGCGUGCUGACCUCUCUGUUGUGCCUAGGUGGGGCUGCGACGUGUUGAUCUUACGAGGCCGGGCAUGACCCAGAAAAGUGUGUCUGGCCAAAUGGGAUCGAGCGUGUUGGGUUAUGUGGUGCACCCCUGCAGGGAAGUUUAUCUAUUCGAACAGUCGUGUCCCUCGGUAAAUGGAUGACCCGGAGUUGUACCUUGACCUUAUGACAACUAGAACUGGAUACUUAAUAAAACACACCCUUCCCAAUGCCAGAUAUAACCCGAUGAUCGCUCUCUAACAGGGCGAUGUGGAGGGGAUCGCCGGGUAGGAUUAUGCUAUGCGAUGCUACUUGGUGAACUUACCAUCUACUCUCUUCUAUAUGCUGCAAGAUGGAGGUGGCCAGAAGCGUAGUCUUCGACGGGAUUAGCUAUCCCCCUCUUAUUCUGGCAUUCUGCAAUUCAGUCCACCGAUAUGGCCCUUUACACAUAUACCCAUGCAUAUGUAGUGUAGCUCCUUGCUUGCGAGUACUUUGGAUGAGUACUCACGGUUGCUUUUCUCCCUCUUUUCCCCCUUUCCUUUCUACCUGGUUGUCGCAACCAGAUGCUAGAGCCCAGGAGCCAGACGCCACCGUCGGCGACGACUCCUACUACACCGGAGGAGCCUACUACUACGUGCAGCCCGCUGACGACGGCCAGGAGUAGUUAGGAGGUCCCAGGCAGGAGGCCUUGCCUUUUCGAUCGUUGCUACUUUUGUGCUAGCCUUCUUAAGGCAAACUUGUUUAACUUAUGUCUGUACUCAGAUAUUGUUGCUUCCGCUGACUCGUCUAUGAUCGAGCACUUGUAUUCGAGCCCUCGAGGCCCUUGGCUUGUAUUAUGAUGCUUGUAUGACUUAUUUAUGUUUUAGAGUUGUGUUGUGAUAUCUUCCCGUGAGUCCCUGAUCUUGAUCGUACACAUUUUCGUGCAUGAUUAGUGUACGGUCAAAUCGGGGGCGUCACAGGCUGGCCGUCCGCUCUGAUCUCUGGCGCCUCCUCUUCACCUUCCUCGUCCUCCUCGUCUUCUCCCUCGUCACUAGAGUCGAUCACUUUGGCUGAGUCCUCGCCAUCCUCCGGGUUCAGCCCGAACCACUCUGGUGGCGCCUCGGCGCCGUUCUCGGCCAGCUCCGGGAUGAAGAUGCUGGUGUUGGUGUACUCGGCGAUCGCCGCCGCUCGCUUGACAAGAUCACCCUCCACCGCCACCAGCUCCUCCUGGGCCUCCUGUCGAAACAUGGUCAACUGAGCUAGAUUUAGCCCAGGGUACCACGCCUUGACGAACUCCAAGGCCCGGCGUGCUCCGGCCCGGGCCGAGGAGCCCUUCCACGCCUCAAGGAGGCCGGCCGCCACCUCCAGCCAGUCGGCAGUCCGGCUGGGUGUGCGCGGAGCCGGCAUGUCUAGCCACAGGGCGGCGAUCGCCUGGGCGCCGACACGCUGAAGGCGGCGCAGCAUCCGAUGAGCCGGCCGAAGACUAGCCUGGAUGCUGAGAAGCUGCUCGCUAAGAGUGCAGGGGGCGUCGGCAGCGAUCUGCUCGCCUUCUACCCUCCGUCCUUCGCGAUCGGCCUCGAUAGCCUGGUUGGCAGCACCAGAGUGACCUGGGAAGAAGUCUGCUCGGACAAAAAGCAAAAGAGUCAGAUCAGAAACAAGAAGUCGGCUUGAUCAGAAGCCAGCGGCUUGAAGAAAGAGUAAAGAAGGCAGCUUACCGUCGACCAUGUCUUCAAUCUCGCCGAAGCCGGCUGUCAGCAUUGCCUCCUUGUCGGUCCAGGCAGAGCGCUCGGUCUCAAAUUCAGCAAGGAGACCGGCCUCCUUGUCCUCCGCAUCCUUCUGGGUCUUCUUGAGAAGCUCCGCCUGCUCCGCCAGUUGCGUGACCAGCCGGUCACGCUCCUCGGCCAGUUUGUUGCAGUCCGCCUCCUUGGCACGCAGCGCGGUGUUGGCUUCGCCCAGCUGCUGCUGUAGGGCGGCGUUGGCCUCUGCAAAAGCAGAAGAAGAAAAUGACAUCAACAAUCAACAAAGAGAGAUAUAGUUGCUGGGAAGAUCCGGCCCGACUGCACAGCAGCGGCCCGAAUCUCGAGGACUACAGCCCGCGGGUGCGCCAGUGCGCCCCCGCGGAGAAAGAAGUUAUCAAAUAUCAACAGAGAAGAAGAACAGUUGCUAGGAAGAUCCGGCCCGACUGCUCAGCAGUCGGCCCGAAUCUCGGGGACUACAGCCCGCGGGUGCGCCAGCGCGCCCCCGCAGAGAAAGAAAAAGACUUACUCCGGCUCUCCGACAAGUCGACGGUCUGUUGAUCCAACUCCUGGACUUUGGAGUUGAAGGUGGCUGCACGGAGGUUAUGAUAAUCCUGCAGCAAAGAUAUCAGAUAGUAUUAGUACUCGGAGCUUGCCAAUUAAAGUUCCGAGCCGCCUGCAUGGAUAAUGAAACUUACAUGGCGAGGAUUCAAAUCCAAAACCUAACAUGAAUUGAUGCGAUGAUACAAAGUCAAUUCGAACCAAACUGAGUACUAUUAUUCAUUUUUCUUGGACAUAACUCAUUUUCCAGAUGUACAUUAUGUAAACGUAAUGGAUAAUGAAACUUUUCAUGAACGAACCACCCGGCGCGGCAACGCGCGCCUGUUCUUCUAGUAAGAGUCUAAACUACGUAAUAAGUAUGCCACCGUCGGUGGUGGGUGUGGAUGCUGCCAGCCAAUGUUAAUGAGUAAUGACUGUCACAGCGUGUGAACGCCCUCGACGAUAGCGCUAGUCAAGUCAAGUCGAGAUAAUUAAAUCAGUGGGCGGCGUGAGAGCAUGUGCACAAGCGUGAGUAACGGCACCGUGCGAUAAUCAAAUUUCUGUGUGGCACGAGAGAGCAUCCCAUGCGGUGCGUUGUCGCCAUCACCCAGCUCAGCUAGCCCCGCUCCCCCGGCGAGAGGGUGACCAGUUCGACAGCAAACCACCAGUGGGCGGGCGGGAAGAGAGGGAGGAGCCAUGGCCGAGCUCGCGGCGGGUGCCGUGAGAUCGCUGCUGGUCGUCAUCCACAGCGAGACGGUGCUACUGCGUGGCGUGCGGGACGACGUGCAGUUCAUCAAGGAUGAGAUGGAGAGCAUGAAAAGCUUCCUGGCGCACCGGGCCAGGUCGACACCCCCCGGUGGCGAGCACGAUGAGCAGGUGCGCACCUGGAUGAACCAGGUGCGGCUGCUUGCCCAGGACUGCAACAACUGCAUCGACCUCUACCUCUAUAGGAGGAACCCCGAUAUCCACGGCGCCAGAGGCGGGCUCGAAGGCUACCUCUGGUGGGCACCCUGGUUCCUGCGCAAGCUGGCCGCGCAGCACCGCGCGGCUGACCAGCUGCGCAAGCUCAAGGAGCGAGCGCGUGACGUCAGCAAGCGGCGGUUGAGGUACGGCGUGGAGGUGCCGGCCAAGUCAGGGGAGGGGCAAUCGGCGUCAUCAUCAUCGUGGGCUGCUGCGGCCGAGGACGACGAAGAAGACAGUGACGGCCAACUCAUGAGGGCAAUGGCGACCGGUGGCCAUUCUGGUCCAAGAGCCUUCAUCCAGCCUCGCACUCUGGACGACUACGUCAAGGCAAAGCUAUGGGAGUGGAUAUGUGGAAUUACUGCAAACGCCGGCGAAACUCGGUCCAUAGUCGUGGCGUCACCAUACACAUAUUAGGAUCUCCUCACCCUUAUACAUGAAAUUUGGGGUCCGUCGUCGCCCCGCGGCUACGAUCCCAUUGUCGUGGUUGACAUCCCGGCAGUGCACCCGGAUUAUGCGCCGCUAAGGCCCAAGGAAGUUCUCUUCUACAUUCUGCGCGAGCUCAAGCAUGCCAAAGCCAACCCCCAGGAGCAAGGCACAGAAGUGGACCAUUGGGAAGUUUACGUAAGAAGAUUGCAAAUUUAUAAUGAAAAGAAGAGGGCUAUUGCUCUUCUUAAAAUCGAGAAGAAUAUCGAAGAGAUGAAGGUUUAUGGUAAGCUUGAUAAAAUCGGAAGUGAUAUUCAAGGUCAACUAGAGAAGGGCAAUGGACUACCCAAGGUCGAUUUUGACCAGUUGGACCUCGACGUACAACUUCACCUACUGCUCCGGGUAGCGUCUCAACAAGAUCAAAAAGGGAAGAACAAAGACAUGCAUAGAUUUCCAGCGUGGGACAACAAUAACAUCAUCGUCAAGAAGCUUAAAGAGCAUAUGGAAGCAAAGGAGAAGGACAAUAAGUUUGAAGAGGAAGAAGCAGCCAAGCAUAUGUGGGUGGAAGGAGAAGAAGCCGCGGCCAAGCAUAUGGAGGAGGAAGGAGUAGCCAAGCAUCUGGAAGAGGGGGGAGGAAAAGUAACCAUGCAUAGGGAGGAGGAGGAAGGAGGCAGAGAAAUCAAAAGUCAGCAGAUGGCAUGGAUUCAGCUCGAUGAGGCACAAUAUGCACACAUCCUGCAGAAGCUGUUCCCCAAGAGCAACAGCAAGCCCCCGCAGGCUCAGGACAGAUCCUUGGGCAGGCAAGCUACAAAGAUCACAACGCCUACAUUGGGUGGGGAUCAAAUCAAAAAACUAUUCCACGACGCGAAGGAAGACAUGUUACGGGACCUGCAGCAAGGCAAAUAUGACAGGAGUGAAGGGAUAGAAACAGAAAUUGCUUCUGAAACUUUUGCCUGUUUCAUGGAUCAGAUGAUGGUCAAAAUGAAGAAUGAGUUCAAAGAGCAGCUCAAGAUCAAAGGGCUCGUGGACGAGAUUAAAAAUAACUUGAAUCGUCUUCCGAAUAAGUGUGAAUGCCCCCUGUUUAUCCUCAAAGUUGAUGAGCUGAUGGAUGUUUCCACAUAUGAGGAUACCAGAAAUGCUUUGAGCCUGUUAAAAUGCAGCGCCGAUAUGAUGAUCGUCACGGCCACAAAGGACAUCCAGCUGGCCAGAGAAUAUUGCUAUCCCCAGAUGGAACCUAUAGACUGUUCUCUUGCUAGCCUCUACCAUGAUACAAUGCACGAGCUUACAGGCCAGCAGAAGAAUGAAGACAGCUACAACCCCCAAAUUUUUCAUGAUAUCUUACAGCAGUGUGAGCCACAUGAAUUCAGCAUGAAAAUCUUCACUCAUGCUUUGUAUGCUAACCCCAAGAGGAGCGAUGAGGAGUUACUCAAGCUGCACAAAACUCUCCGGGUUUUGCCAACAAGAUCAUUCAACAGCAUCGCUAAGGUGAUGUUCAAGUUCUCUUACGGUGAUCUGCCUAAAGAAUACAAGUCAUGCUUGUUGUACCUAGCUAUCUUCCCUCCCGGACAAAAGAUCAGGCGGUCAACCUUGAUUGCACGCUGGGUUGCAGAAGGGCUGACAUCCAAGGAAGAUUGGCCCAGUUCUGUGCGUCAGGCCAACCGAUGUUUUGACGCACUCGUUGGCCGCUGCCUAGUUUAUCCUGCUGAUAUUGAUGCCACAGGAAAUAUAAAGAGCUGCGUCGUAGAUGAUCGAAUUCAUGGAUUCAUUACCACCAUUGCCAGAAAACAACACAUUGUGGAGACACGACUGCCACGUCACUUGGCUCGCCACUUCUCCAUUUUCAAUGAUCUCCAACUCCGUAGCUCUGAUACAAUUGAUAAAUUCUUCCAGGGGCUCUCUAAAUCAUCUCAUGUAUCCUUGCUCAAGGUGCUAGAUCUAGAAGGUUGUCGGUGCUUUCGUGGGAAGAAUCAGCGGUACCUCAAGGAAAUCUGCAGCAAGAUGUUACUGCUCAAGUAUCUGAGCCUGAGGAGAACAGAUAUUACCCAGCUACCCAGCGAAAUCAACAACCUCCGUGAGCUAGAGGUACUGGACAUCCGAGAAACUAUGGUGCCUCCACAUGCAACAGCAAAUAUCCUGCUAUUGAAGCUGAAGCGUCUGCUUGCUGGUUACAUUGAUUGUUCAAGCAAUUUUGGCUCUAGUGGAAGGAUUCCUCAUAGGAUUGACAAAAUGGUAAACAUUGAGGUACUAUCGAAUGUCAAGGCCCAGAAGAGUCAAGAUUUAAAAGAUAUUGGAAAGCUACGGCAGCUGAGGAAGCUAGGAGUGGUCAUCGAUGAUAAGGAUAGUCACCUCAAGAAUUUGCUUGAGACGAUCAGUGACCUACAUGAGUGCCUCCGUUCUCUGUCAAUCACUGCUAUUCCUAUAGCCACACCAUGGGAAUGGGAGGGUACUCCUUACAGUGCAGAGUUACCAGAUGGCAUAGGCUCUCUCUUAGAAAACCAUCCCAAGAUUCUUGAGAGUCUAAGCAUCAGGGGAACCACACAGAAGGGGCGUCUUCUUCCAUUGUUCAUAAAAGGUGAUAAAAACGAACUUGCCAAGGUAACCCUAUGUCACACUCUGCUGAGCCAAGAUGAUCUGAAAGUCCUUGCCAAGCUGCCCAAGUUACGGUGCAUAAGGCUCCAACACAUUGCAUGCACCGAGUCUAUGUUGAACUUCAAGAAGGAUGAAUUCAGAUGCCUCAAGUACCUUCUUGUUGAGGGCUCGGCCUUGACUAAUAUCACUUUUGAGCAUGGAGCAGCCAAAGAGCUCGAGAAGAUGGUUUUGUCUUUCACCGGCAUAGGUUCUAUUUCUGGAGUUGACUUUCUUCCAAAAUUUAAAGAGCUCGAGAUGAACAACAGCUUCUGUGGCAGUUUGUUAUCAUCAUUUGACAAUGCCAAACAGAUAGCCAAGCUGACUCUUUGUGGUACAUUGCUAGAGCAAGAUGCUCUACAACUGCUCACCAAGAAACCAAAUAUACGCUCUCUGGUGCUCCUGGACGAGUCUUUUGGUGGAAGUCAGAACGAGAUUACAUUGAAAAAAGAUGAGUUCUUAUGGCUCAACCUCCUUGUUGUUGACUGCUUGGCCAUCACCAAGAUUGUCUUCACCAGCGGAUCUGCUCCUAGGCUCGAGAAGAUUGUCUGGUCAUCUUCCACAUCGCUCUCCGGCAUUGAGAAACUUCCCAGGUUGAAGGAGCUCGAGUUCAACUCCAAGAUUCUCGGCGACCAAGUCCCUGAUGAGGUGAGGGGGGCCAUUAAAAACCACAGAAACAAUCCUAGUCUUAAACUCAAUGGACCAGAAACUCAAGACUAGGCAAAAAGGAGAUGAAGAAGAGGACGACGAUGCUGCUGCAACAUUCUCUUUCUACUGGAAGAAACAGAUUUGACGCUGGAAGGGACUCUCCUUUGAUUCUAUCUUGUGCUAGUGUGGAUUGCAAUUUGUUCUGCUUGUCUGUUUACUUUCUGCUGCGUGUUUAUGUCCUGUGUGCAUUACAACUAAAGUAUCUCUGUUUACUUGCUCUACAUAAGUGCCCUAGUGGCUCUGAUUGAGCAUAAACGGUUGUAUCUAUGCUUGUAUUUGAAUUUGUGUGGCUUUCCUAUGUAUCGAACAUCGUAUGCAUUCGUGUACGGUUUCAUGUAAUAAAGUGUGAGGUUUGUGGACACAUUUGACUUCUUAUUAAUGUACAUUGUGAUAUCAGUAUGCUUUCAUUGGGUUUCUGCAACUCAAAGAUGAACUGCUGUGUGUAUAUGGUUACCUGUAAUGUAGGCAUCUGUUGGCCAUUGUUUCAAACCAGCUGAGUAGCUCUUGCACUGAUGCCUGACUAUGUACUUGAAGCAGAACGUUAUGCAGAUUAAGCAUUAGCGCCCCAGGAAGAACUGAAACUGUUUUCAGCUGUAUGUUGGCGUACAUUUGGUUGGCAGACAACCUCCUGAUCUGCGUAAUUUCUCCAAUUGUUUGCUGGUGGAGAAGCCAAUGCAGUUCCAGAAUUUACCAAUCCACUUAAAUUUGUGCAGACACAUGCAGCAAUCACGACUCUUCGCUUGCUCAUGUAAGAAAUCAAAUCGAAGCAUGAGACCUGCAGGGACAGAAGCACGGCCUAUUAGGCAUCGAGGAGGAAAUUCAGAAAGAAAAUGUAAUCACUGCUGCUCUAAUUCCUCUUUGGGAUCAGCAGAUCGGAACGAGUUGGAGCCAUGGAGGAGGCGUAGUGCGCCCACCUCGAAUCUGAAUGACGACGAGACGCAAAACACGACACUGACGACGGCUUUGUCCUUCCUCUUCGUUGUACUGGGCGAUCUUUCUGAUGUCGAUCGAGGCCGCAACAGAGGAGGGGGAGGACCAGCAAUGGCAAAGGGAGUCGGAGGCCACGGGGAGGGUGCGGCCGCCGACCCUGGCAGAGGAAGAGAGAGGGGGGUUGCGGGCGGGGAUACGGAUGAGACAAGGAAGUGCAUUUUCCUUUAAUUAUUGGAGAAAUUUAAUUUUACUACCCAAACAAUCCACCACUUUUUUUUUGAAUAAUUCACUUUUUUUAGACACAAUACAGCCUAUGCCCUCUUGUAUCUACAUAUCAUGAUAUGGAUACCCUUGGUCGUUAAUAAAGGGAAGAUGAUUUUAGCCGAGGUGAUCGGACUAACACUGAGUGCAUUUGUCCCGGCUAGGCUUAUUACGUUCUUAGUGUUCUAAAGUGGGNNNNNNNNNNNNNNNNNNNNNNNNNNNNNNNNNNNNNNNNNNNNNNNNNNNNNNNNNNNNNNNNNNNNNNNNNNNNNNNNNNNNNNNNNNNNNNNNNNNNNNNNNNNNNNNNNNNNNNNNNNNNNNNNNNNNNNNNNNNNNNNNNNNNNNNNNNNNNNNNNNNNNNNNNNNNNNNNNNNNNNNNNNNNNNNNNNNNNNNNNNNNNNNNNNNNNNNNNNNNNNNNNNNNNNNNNNNNNNNNNNNNNNNNNNNNNNNNNNNNNNNNNNNNNNNNNNNNNNNNNNNNNNNNNNNNNNNNNNNNNNNNNNNNNNNNNNNNNNNNNNNNNNNNNNNNNNNNNNNNNNNNNNNNNNNNNNNNNNNNNNNNNNNNNNNNNCUUUCUAUAUGGGGGUGCCCAGAACUGGAAUAAAAAGUCAGGGUAGCCCCAACUUAAAUUCUAAUGAAUAAAGUGAAUAAAAAGAGGGGGCAAUCUAAAUAUUGCUAAUAUAUUAGGACCAUCUUAUUAAUAAUUCUAAUGAGUUAUCUUGGAAUUUAGAAUCAAAUAAAAAACCCUAUAUUAUGCUCAAGGAAAGUAGAUAUAGAUAGGAGCUUAUGCCCUCAAAAAAAUACACUAGUUUCUUAAAUUAAAAAUAAAAAGGAUUUUUUUCUUACGUCGAGAAAUAUUUGUUUUUCAAGAUAAACAAUGUCCGUUAGGCACCUAAUCUUUAUGUCAUAAUAGACCCGAACACUUGCCUCGGAUUGACUUCAAUAUAUAAUUGCUCCAGUGAAUAACAAAAAAAAUAGAAGGAUGGUAGAUAGUAAAGAAAAGAACUAAUCACAAUAUCUAUCUUUCAAAAUCUAUCUUUCAAAAUAUAUAUCUUUCAAAGAUUCACUAAAAAGACAGUUGGCGGGUCUCUUUGUAUGUCUUGUCCGGAAAGAGGAGGACUUAAUGAUUAUUCGUUCGCCGGAACCAGAAGUAAAAAUUGUUGUGGAUAGGGAUCCUGUAAAAACAUCUUUUGAGGAAUGGGCCAGACCCGGCCAUUUCUCAAGAACACUAGCUAAGGGCCCUGAUACUACUACUUGGAUCUGGAACCUACAUGCUGAUGCUCACGAUUUCGAUAGUCAUACUGGUGAUUUGGAGGAGAUUUCUCGAAAAGUAUUUAGUGCUCAUUUCGGGCAACUUUCCAUUAUCUUUCUUUGGUUGAGUGGCAUGUACUUUCAUGGCGCCCGUUUUUUCAAUUAUGAAGCAUGGCUAAGUGAUCCUACUCACAUUGGACCCAGUGCUCAGGUAGUUUGGCCUAUAGUAGGGCAAGAAAUAUUGAAUGGUGAUGUAGGCGGGGGUUUCCGAGGAAUCCAAAUAACCUCUGGUUUUUUUCAGCUUUGGCGAGCAUCUGGAAUAACUAGUGAAUUACAA
rnacentral:lncRNA from 1 species